rnacentral:lncRNA from 1 species
UUCCACGGAGAUGAGUGCUCUUAAAAAAAUGAAUACAAGGAAAUAAAAAGGGGCAAGUGCCAAAACCUCGAAGAAAAGAAAAAGUGAGACGAGAGGUAAAAAUGGACAAGUGUCCGACAGUAGAAUUAGGGGUACAAGAUACCCACCUGAGAGAAAAGAAAAAAUAUAUAUAUAUAUAGCAUCUCAUUCUCCUCAAAAAUCUUCAAAGUGCAAGGAAGGUAUGUAUCCCCUCAAAAGAGCAAAAGUAGAAUUAGACUUUCACCAUUGAUAUAACCAUCAUCACCAUACACCAUUCAUUCGCCACACAUGCACAACUUGAUUUGACUUAUUGACGUGUUUCUAUGGAUCCAUGGUUUGACUAUGCAAUAAAUGUCUUGUAAGUAUGUAUACUUUAUCUCCCACCUAUGAGCUCCACAUAUCAAAGCCUUACUAGAGUAGGAUGAGAGAGAAGGCAAUUUCACUAUGCCUUAUACUACAAAUACCACAUACUUUGAGGGAAGGCAUAUACCAUCACUGCCUUGGUAAGGAUCCAGAAAUACCAUAAAUGAGAGAUCUGAGAGAGUCAUACAAUAGAAUCUCUAAGUUUUAUUUGAAAAACUCCAUAGCUAUAGCUGAUCAAGAAUAAGAGACAUGGCGCUUGGCUAGACCGUUCUAUCUUUUAAAUGCUCAAGACAUAAGUGAUGGUUGCAAGCCCCAUGGUGAAAGAUAAAAUGAGUAAGUUUUAAGUCUUAACAGUUUACUCUAACUCAGAGAUGAGACCUCAUUUCAAAUCAUGUGUACCGUCACCAUUUUAAGGCAUUACAGCAACUUCUGAUCCAUCACUGAGACUAUCCUUGGUCAAGGACGAGCAAGAGGUAAGCUUGGGGGAGUUUGUUGACGGUCCUUAAGUAUCAAAUAUAAUCAUCAAAUAAAUAAAGAAAAGGAUCCAAAUGCGACCAACACCUAGACUUAGGGUUUUAUCUGAUAGAAUUCCACGAGUUUUGGUGUUUGUCUAUUUCUGUAGGGGGUUAUCAAAGAAUAUGGAGGAAAGGUCCACAUGUCGGGUUUAUAUAGAGAUAUUAACGUGCACCGCAAUUAUCUAACAUCUAGAAGAGUCCAGAAGCCACGGGAACGAGCGAGAGGCCGAGCGGGCCCAAGGGCUGGGCGCCCGCCCAAGGCUCUCAGCCAAUCAGGCUCCGUCUCGCAGAUAAUGCUCCACCGACCUAAAGGAUUAAGGAAAACCUUGCGAUUAAGGUCGGUUUGAUCUGACUUUGCUCUAAUUGUUUAUAUUUGCAAUUAUAUCAUUCUUAGUUUAUCAUAGUUAUAUGCUUGGCUUAGUUAGAUUGGAAUUAUAUACAUGUUUAGGAUCGUAUAGCGUUUAUCCAUCGGAUCCAUGGGUAAAUGAUAGAUAUUGUGUAGGCGUGGUGCCUAUACCAUAUUUAUCUACGAUUGUACCCUAUAUGCCGGAUCGCAGGGUAGUUCGUGGUGGUGACAGCUCCAUUGAUUCUUAUAUAGUCCCCCUCCCGUGUAUAGGGCAGGCAGAGCAACAUAAUUACAGGGGAGUGAAUGUUAUGUUUCCCAUCUUCCUUGAUAAUAUCACUAUGCAUGGGCAUAGUCCUUUCUCGUAAUGAUUGCCAAGUACAAUUGCACUAACUAUGAUAUGCUAGACUUUAUAGUUAAGAAUAACUUAGGAAAUAUUCUAGUAGUUCAUCCUAAUCCCAUGCUAAUGACUUGCUAGAAUAUCUGUUGAGGUGCUUAUCAUUAUUAUAUGUGGCUAGUUAUGUUGAUCAGAUUAGUUAUCUUUGUCACUAUUCAUACUUUAUCUAUAUUUUGUAACAGAACUGUCCAAAUUAUAAGUGAUUAAGCUUAAUAGCGACCAUUUGCACAGUCAAACCAUCGAGCUUAAGCCCAUAUAAUCCCGGUAGUCCGUGAAAUCUCGAAGGAUUUCAAACCACAACUCGUACAUACAGCCAAGAUCGUAAUAAGUUCAGCGGUCACCAUCCACAAGUACAUCCAGUUCACAACAUUCAUAAAAUGCAUUGGAGUUCUUAAAGUUAUUACAAACCAAGUUCUUAAGUAGCGGAAGCUUCAUAGUUUGAAAAUAACACACACAUACUUAGUCUGAUACAGUGCCAUAGUUCGGUCAUUCCCACAAAAGCAAAAGAGGAGGUAGAGUGACCAUCGCCCUUGGUCUAGUCAUCGCCCAUCGCUGGGUACUAGCAGAGGAUGCAAUAACCAUAAUACAUUUGACAAUCUGCUAAACAACAUGGGAGUAGAACCCUGAGUACAAGAAUGUACUCAGCUAGACUUACCCGUCAUAAACCAAAAUAAAGACUCUUCAAGGAAUCAUGAAGGCUAUAUGGUGGGGUAGCUGAGACUUUUGCAUAAAAGCAUUGUUCCACUAAACAUAGUCUAAAAACCUUUCUUCUUUUAAUUAGCUCAAGUUCGAUAUCAUCAUUACCUAUUAGCUAGGUUUGCACCUGUACUAUUAUAAGCAAGUGUAGUAAUAUGAUGGUACCUCAUCAUAGCAUUCACAAAUCAUUUACCAUCAUAACCCAAGUGUUCCAUAAUCCUUACUACGAGGACGAAGCUCAUGUCAAGUGCUCACUAUCUAGGUGCGAUGGCGAUUCGAAUCGAUUUCUAACUAGCUGGCGAGUUAUUCCUCACACAAACCACACUCACGGAUCAAGUGAGCUACAGAUCAACGUGUUACACUAUCCAGGACCAAUUUGCGGGUUCGGCAGGCACCGCCAGUACCCGAGGACCGUUCCGACGACCGAGGUAUCAAAGGUAUACCAAGGUUGCGCGCCGCGCCCUCGUCGUUCUCCUCAACCAUCACCAAUACAGCGCAUGGCAGCUCGACUCCCGGCCUGAAUAGUGUUCAGGCUUCGCGGUCGGAACGACUUAUCCUUCCAGCUAAGUGUGGGGCAUGCGUUCAACAUGACAAGAGGGCCGUCAACGAUCGGUCCUUAAUCGACACAGGCAGGGGCACUACGGUCAACCCGCCUUAAGACCCUGCCCGGUCUCAAAUUCCAUUCCACACUUGGUUAUUCUUUCCCACAGCAAUCACCGCUAAUCAAACAGGAAUCCACCUAUAUCUCGCAGGUGACAGGAAAUCACCCGACUUCUACCGAACUAAGCAAGCUAAGCAUAGACUCCGCACCUAUCUAUAUAGGACAAGGUAGGUAAACAAGUGGUGAUAUCAAGGAGUACUUAUGCAUGAACGGUAUCAAGCAACUCCUAUCACUUAAAUGCAAUAUAGUAAAACAAGCAUGAUAUAUCAUUUAAGUUAGCGAGAAUAGGGAGACUUAGAAUGCUCCGAGGCUUGCCUUUCUCAAACGUGCUCGGCCUGUGAUCCGGAUACUCCUGCAGCUCUUCUCCGGGCUCUGACACUCCCAGAGGUUCCUGCUCCUCUGCUUCCUCCUGCUCCUCGGGUCCCACCUCGUUCUCCUACGAGCCUGUAUGAUGCAUAGGUGCUCAUGAGUGGAGUGCGAGAUGCCCGGGGUGCAAUGCUUAUGCGAGAGAAUACCAAUGACCAUGAUAUGAUGCAUGGAUGAUUGAAGUAGCCAUUUUCACAAGGUAGUCAACGUCAUCCGAGAACAUGCAACCACACCAAGCAUCUAUUUCCUUCUCUUCUACAAAUUAUCCCCAAGUGUAACCAGCAAACUCACAAGAUGCUUCAAAGAUACACCAAACCCCUUUUUAUUUUACUUAAUCUAUGUAUAACAAUUCAUAAUUUCUUUACCACUUUUAGGCCUACCAAAAUAGCAUACAUUUCUGUUUAUCAAUAAAUCCCACAAAAAUUACAGAGGACUACUAAUCAAUCAUAGAGUCUACCAAAAUUUUCUCAUAAUAUUUGGACAUUUAUUUUGAGCUACAAAAAUCACAAGAUCAAUUCAUAAAAGCAAGUAUAAAUACUCUACUGUGGUAUAAGUGUCAAAGCAGAUGUCAUAUUUUUAGAAUUAACCUAUUAACAUAAGAAACACCCACGAAAAUUUCCAGAUUAAUUGCAUGAUCCAAUUAUUUAUUAAAAAUCAUAAACCACUGCCAUGCAAGCAUUUAAAUCAUCAUAAAUAAAUUCAUUCAGUAAAUAAUGUAUAACAUAUUUUUCCUAGAGCCUAAUCAUCCAUGUAGAGCCAAUAAAACAAGUUUCAUAUUUUUCUGAGCUAUAUUUUAAUUACUAUUCAUUUUACAAUUUUCAGCAAAAUCAUGGAUUAAAUAUAAUUGCACAGAAAAAUUAUCCAAACAUGACAUGCAACCAAACUAAACUGUAGAUCUGAGAUUUUAGAACACAUCAAAAUUUAGUUCACUAAUUUUGGAGCUGUAGAACUCAAGAUAUGGAUAUUACAAGAUUUAAAUCAAUUUCUGGAAAUCAUUUUUCUGAAAAACAAAUCAAAUCCACCUUGGGACCAGCUAGGUGCACCCGGUGCAGUGCACCCGCGGUCGUUGACGAGCGGACCCGCCUGCCAGCCGGACCCGCUAGCCAGAGCGCAGAGAGGGGAGAACUUCGGCGAGCCGGAGCUCACCGUCGGCGACCUCUUUCGGCGAACCAAACUGCCCUACGCAUUCUACGGCUCAAGGCGAACUCAGCGCACCCUUUUGCGCGGCCCGAAACGGACCGGAGCAAGCUCGCCACCGGCCAUGGCGGAACGGCGGCACGGCUCACCGCGGUCCGGCCACCACACGGCGGUAGAGCGCGCGCUCACGGCCGAGAUAGGUGCGCGAGGCCAAGGCGAAGCUAACGCAUCAAAAAGCACGAGAAAUGGCGGGGUAGAGAGGGAGAACCGCAGGGACCGUGAGGUCGCCGGAGUCCCGACUCACUCUGGUGAGCUCUCCCGAGCGCACGGGACUCACCGAGCGUGGUAGAACGAGAGCACGCGAUGCGGAAGGACGAGGCGGAGCUGGUGGUGGUCGCGGAGAGGAAGAAGAAGGCCGGAGCUGGCCGAGAGAGGAGCUCCAUGUCAUCGGCGACGAUGGCGUGCGGUGGAGCGGUGGCUGCUGCGCGCGAGCGAGCGGAGGGCGAGAGCGCGAGUGGAGGAGCGCAACUGGCAGCGGGGGCAAUGGCGGACGCCGUCGGGUGCUCCUGGUGGCCGACCAGGGCGCGUCCAGGCUGCCGCAUGCUCGCCACGCGGCGACCGAGCUCUGCCGGCUCGCCACGGCGGCGCGGCGCGGCCGUCCGUGCGUGGUCACAGCGCGGGCGCGAGCGCGGGCGGGCUGGGCUGGCUUCGGCCAGCGGGCCAGAAGUGAGGCCACGGCCUGCUAGCGCCCCCCUUUCCUUUUUCUAUUUCUUUUGAAUUUCUUUUCUCAAAUUCUUUCUAAAUUCAUUUGGACUAUUUAAAACUCGUUUUCACCUUUUUCUCCCAAAAUAAAAGUUGUUACAAAACAAAAACCCUACAACUUUAGUUUAGGUUGAAUUCACAAAUUCCAAAUAGAUUUUGAAAUCCAACUCAAAACUAGUUAUAGGUUUUCAAAUAAAUCUAUUUUGGGGAUUUUUGUAUAAAAAUCAAUUUCUCAAUUUCCAUGGCUCCAAAAAUAUCACAAAAUUACUCUUAACUAUUCUAACACUUAUUUCCACCAAAUUUGAGUAUUUCACAAUUUUAGAAGCAAGCAUAAUAUUUUUAACACAUUUAAUUCACAUAAAAUAAAGCACAUAAAAUCACACUUUGAAUGGAUGACAUGCUCAUGUGAUGCUAUGCUUGAUGAGAGUGCUUAUGGCUGAGUUUAGGAGACUAAGUGCAUGCUUAACACCUAGGGUGUUACAUAUUUUAUGUGACAUUUAUCCUUGUAUGCAAGAGAUAGAUGAAUGCUCUCUAUUACACAUGCAAUGAUAGAUACUCAGUUCCAUAUUUCAUUCCAUAAUUAACACUGAUAUUAGUAAUCCAUUCCCAGUGGUAAAAAUAUAAAUGACGAUACCUAGAAUACUUGGUUAAAAUGCUACAUCGGUAUUAAUCUAUGCGCUUGUAGAUCUCAUUUAUUAUUUAUUCAUAAGAGCAAUUGCAUAUUUCAAUACCGCGUCUCUCAUGUCAUGCUGGGGAUGACAACUUGACUUAAGUGGCAUGAGGGAUAGGUUUGGCAUUUUUUGGCGCCGUUAUCAAAAAUAGAAAACUAAGUCUACUUUUGGUAAUGACGUUAAGAAUGCCCAACAAUGAACAAUGAAGAACAAUGAUGAACAUAUCAAGAACAUAGCACAAGAACUAAGAACUAGUUCAUAUAUUAUGAACAUGAUAACAAUACAACCAUACUCUAGUUCAUAUGCAUAAUCAUAUAAAGAUAAAUAGAACUUGCUCAUGGAAGAAGAUUGAAUAUUAUUCAUACCAAGAAGAUCCUCUCUUCCCAGGAGACAAGCUCUAAUUGCUAGCUCUUGCCCUACUCUACUACUAAUCUAGACUAAAGAUACAAGUGAGAGGUGUGAGGUAAAUUGACUCCAAAUGGUGUGUGUGUUGAAAAGGGGGGAGUGCCUCUCUUUUUAUAGUGGAACUAGGACGGUUCGUCGCAUCUAAAUUUGGUAGUAGGUAAAACCGUUCUAUGCAUGGCGUCAUGCAACCACCUGAGAAAGAUGGGCCUUGUUUGCCGUCUCCAGGGGUGCGCCUGCACUAGGGUGCGGCCGCACCCUAGGUGGGCCCCCUGGCCACCGCCUUCGCGUGGACAGUUUGGCUUUGGGCCUGGAUCUCUCCCGUGGUUACGAUUAGUCCCAGUUCUGCAUUGUUCGGGCCUUUCUCCAUUUUCUUGGUUUGCACAUUUCUGAAUACGUCUUUUGGUACUUUGCGCUUUCUUCGUGGUAUGGCACAUUUUUCACUUGUUGCACUAUGAUUCCUGCAAAAUAUAAUCACUAUGGUACAAGUGGAACUUGUUAGUAAUAAAAUGCAUAUGUGUAUAUAAUAUGAUUGCUUCUUCUCCUUUUGGAUCAAGUUGGUAGUUUAUAAUUGGUCUAUAAUGAUUGCCAACAAGUCCCCCAAGCUUAACCUUUGCUCGUCUCGAGGGAAUAAUUAAGUAUGGUUGUUGAUCAGGAGUUGAUACUAUGCCAAUAUAAUUCAAGAGUAUAAUACCUAUAACAAAGCAUUCAUUCGCAAUUUAAAUAAGUUGGCAUGCUAUCCACUCUUCACCUUGACUUCUCAUGGGGCUUAUAGCUUUUCCAAGUUCUUGGGUGGUUGCAAGAUUGAAUGGUUGUAACAAACUCACCAUUCAUUCAUCCCUUGAUAGACCAUCAAUCUAGAGGUUUUAUAAUUUUUUUGCAAAAUAAAUAAGUUCCUCGAAUGUUUCUCUCGAUCGCUCCAUGUGUAUGAAAUCCUCACCAAAGGCAUUUAUGUUUGCCUUUAAGACCUACCACUAAGGCUGAGAAUGGAGCUUUGGGAAGGUAUAAAGGUGGGCGUACUUACGACACUUGUGUUGCCAACUCAACGCCCGGACCAUGAGGAGAUGCAAGUCAUACACCUUGAUUGAGAUGUGCAAGUGUGUGGAAAUUUUUUGGUGGUAGUCCUAUCUAAAUAUUUUUGGUUACUCCUUGUAUCAUGACUCUCUUUAUUUGAGGAUGAGAAUGAGAGAAUAUAAACAUAUGGGCCCUAAAAAUAAGGAUCAUAUAUAUAUUUUAUUUUCUCUGACGGGGAUUUUGAUUUUCCCGUCCAUGCCUUUUGCUUUUCCCUUUUUCUUUCAUGGAUAACUGAUGCCCACAUGUUUCAAAGGGAUCUCAAAGAGGAAAAUGGAGAGAUGUCAUGAUGGUGAUGUAAGAGUUAAAUUGUGUAUGGGGAUGCGCAAACCUCAGGGUGAGAGUUUGGCAUACUUAUUUUGUGGAACCUAAGGCGCAUCUCUCAUGGUAAGAGUUAGCAUAUUUUUUGAGGAUGGAAGGGUGCAUGAUGUGCGCAACUUCUCAGUGUGAGAGUCGGCUUUAUUUGGUGGGUGCGUGAAUCUCAUAUCAUGGGUGCAUGACUAUAAUCUCACUCUAGGAUACCUGGGAUUUGACUCAACUCAAAGCGCGGCAAGCCGCAUAUGAUUAAUGGUGUACAAACUACUAAGCAAGUCAUAUGGCCUUGGUAGGUAUUUCAUAAUCAUUGAGGAACUCUUUGUUUUGAAUUUUUAAAAGGAAAACUCCGGAUGUCAAGUUUCUCUUAGAACAAAGUCAUAGCAAAAUCUAUUUAUACCAUAUCAUGUCUCACAACAACUUAGAAAAGGAUCAUGCAUUUCCAACCCACAAGAUUUCAUGUUCUCAGAAUGAGAUAUUUUUAGCCAACAAACUUAUAUCUUGAUGAACACUAAAUUAUAACUUAAAUACUAGAGAAUUAUAGAUAGAGCAACUAUUCAUCAUUUCAAUAGAAGAGAAACUAACAUAUCAUAGCGCACAUGAGAGUGGAUUUUUUUUUGAAAGAUGAUGAAAAAUUGCUGAAAUUUAAAUACUAAAAUUAAGAACUAAAAUUAAGUGCAAGAAUGUAAGAUACAUGUUACCUCUUGUGGGGGUCCUCCCCCAAGCUAGCUCACUGCUGCGGUCUAGGGAAAUGUCCCAUGGAUUGGAGGUAGGCCAUCUGUGCCUCGUGCCGGGGACGGCUUGCAUCCUCAAGGUCGAUGAAGCUCUGCCGGGUCUAUUGAUGCCAUUGGGUAGCAGUCUGGAUGUGGGCAUUAAGCGUACCUUGGAUCUGCCUGUUCUGGAGCUCCAGUCCUCCCAUGCGAGUGUUGAGGACGUCCUGUGUGACCUGAGGGCGAACAGUGGGUGGCAUCCCCUCGAAAUCUGAGGAGUGUCCUGGCUCGUGAUGCCCGGAUCCUCCUGCCUCUCAUAUGCCUCUGGCUCGCUUGGGCCUGCGCCUCCGUGCGCCUGCCAUCUCGACCCUCCUGCCUGCGAGCUCGAACCUCAAGCCUUGUAGGGGUGAGGAAUGUAUCCCAUACCAUAUCCAUACCUACGGGUAAAUCCGGGUGCAGGUAUAGCAGGGGUCCAUCCCAUCCCUGGCAUAGCUAGUGGUGGAGUGUGCUAUGCUUGUAACACCCCAGUGUUAUGGUUGCAUUAGUCAUGUGUAUAGCAUGAGCAUCAUCAUCCAUUCAAAGCAUCCAUGAUCAUCAUCUAUCUUGAGCCAUGUCAUUCUAUGCAAAAAUGUGUUUUAACUUGCUUGAAUAGGCUUCCUAUGCUUAUGUUUGAGUGAACCAUGCUUGUGUUUGUGCCCUAUGCCUUGGCAAUUAGUUUAUCUAUGCCUAACUUAACCUUGGGAACAAUGUUCAUGUUGAUCACUUCUCCAAAAUCAUCACUUAAGUCAUACUUAUGCAAAUAGGUCCUAGAAACCUCUUUUGCUUAGGCUUUUAAAAAGUGUUUCAUAACAUAUUUGCAUGUCAAAACUUCCUACAGCAAAGUUGUAGCACAUUUUAUAAGGAACAAAAGUUGUUUUAUGGCCAUCUCAUGAAAAUGACCACAAAUAGCUCAAAAGUGACCCACACGGCAAAUUUGGGCUGUUUCCAACACUCAGAAAAUUUCUCUAAGUGUGGAAUCACUGCAGUUUGCUCGAGGGGGUAUUGUUCAUCUUCUAGUUUGAUUUCUAGGCCGAAUCAGACUAUGAUCUUGUAAGCAAUGUUGGAGUACUCAUGUAGCUCUCCAGCAUAGAGCAAUUAGUCAGCAAAAUCAUCGAGUGGUUUAGGAGAUAAUCAUCGUGCAAAAUCGAGUUUCAGUCGGUAAUCGCGAGGUCUGAUGCAGAGCUGAGCUCGCCGUCAUGGACGCUCAGCGCGACAUCUGUACACCAGAUGGCGCCCGUACGCCGGCGACGGCCCCGCUCGUCAGGUCGUCGACGUUGGCAUGGACGCCACGGCGCCCCGCACUCACUCAGCGCCCGUCCAUUCUCCUCCUCCGCUCUCUCGCGCUCGCUCUGGCGGAAAACGCCGUCGCCAUUGCCGCCGAGAGCUUCGCCAGCUCCUUGCGCCCUCGCCUCUGCGUCUUGCUUUGCCUCCGAGCGCCUCCAAGUCCGCCUCGAGCUCCUCCAUCUUCUCCACCCUUCAGUUGGACGAGAUCUCCCUGAGGUGAGCGGCAUUUCGCAAGUUCUCCGUCGUCGGGUUCGCGGCCGUCGCGACACCGAUUCCGGCGAACCUCGCCGCUGCUCCACCCUUGCCUCCUUUCUUCUCUCUGGGUAGCGUUAGGGUCUGCUUAGGUCUUGGCGUCGGUCCACACCAUGCCAUUACAGCUGAAACCUCACCGUCGCGCGGGAACACGGCCGCUGCACCGCCGUGCUCACCGCCGACGAGCACCUCGCACGUGAGCAAGUUCACUGGAGCCGUUAGGGUUAGGCGCUCCUACCUCGAAAGCUCCGCGCUGACUCACUGAUGCUGUAGCCACCCUUCCCCGACGCUCUACCAGUCGGAGAUGGCCGGCGUAAGCCGGGGUAGCUCCGCCGUGCCGCCAUGGCCGACGGCGACCCCUCUCCGUAGCCGAAACCCUAGCGCCACCUACCUCAAUCGACGCGGAAUCUUCCCAGGAGCACGUUGGUGCCCUUGGAUCUGCCGGAGAAGCUCACCGUCGGCGAGCUUUUCCCGGCGAAAGAGUCCUCUGUUCUCGGUGUCACUGACGCGCGGGUCCCGUCUGCCAGUGACUCAACGGUCGCCCCCUUUCUUUUAUUCAAAUCUGGAUUUUUGGCUUUCUUGCAAAAAUCAUAUCUCCUGUUUCUGAGAUCCAAAAAAUUAUGAAACAAAUUUUGUGGCAUUUCUUGAGAUGGCUAGUAUUUAAUAAAAAUAUAAAAUGAACCAUAUUUUCUGGGAAAAUAUUUAUUAAGUAUUUAAUCUUGUUAUUCAUGGAUAAAUGCAUAUCUCUUGUGAUACUGCUUAGUUUACUCUGAAAAUUUGAUGGUAGUCUCUGUAUGGUAUGAGAGUGCUUUGGUAAAUAUUUCAUGAUUUUUGGUGUAAUGCAGCUUUGAUAUGCAAUUUAUGAUUGAAAUGUGGCUUGUUUCUUGAAUUAAAUCAUAUAAAAUAAUUGGUGCUUGUGCUGGUGCUCUACUUUGGUAAUAAACAUGUUCGUGGUAUUUCUCAUAUAUAAAUAAUCUGAAAUCUGUUGUUUGGUACCAUAUAAGUCAUGUUUCUGAAUUUAUGAAAUAAACACCUAGGCUCAUGUUAAAUACAUAUCUUUAUUUUGGUAUGUGCAUUUGCUCUGAAAUUUUUAUGGUGAUACUGUAAUGCUAUACUUGUGUCUCUGUAAUUUUUGUAGAUUUUUCUGAGCACUUCGACUAGUGUCUUGUAAUUAUGCCCUUUUCUAUAAUUAAUUAAUAAAUGCCUUGUUAAGUAAAUGUUUGAGGGUUAUCAUUGGGUGUUCUGGUAACCUGGUGAUAUGCUUGUGCUCAUAAGUCAUGUGGUUGGCAUGGUUUAUGUCUUGGUCAUGUCAUCAAAUAAUUAAUUAAAGGGUUAAAAGCUGUUCUGGACAGCAAGGGAAUACUUUAACUUUUGAUUAGUGAUAACUUGCUUUUCUGGGAAACUUGUCUAAAUCAAAGUUGUUGUAAACUUAUUGAACUAACUGUGGUUUAAACUUGGGGUCAUUUGGUCCAGUAGUUUAAAAGUUAUGGCUAUUCCAAGUUAGGUUCCAGAAAUAGGUGCUCUCUGUUUUUCUGGAACAGAACCUGGAACCUUGUUUAAAUGACUAGUUCAAUAUAUGAAUCUUGUUGUGAUGUUUAAAGAUGAUUUGUAGACAAUUUCAUAAGCUUUCCAGAAUGUCUUUACUUAUGUUUGUUGGAUCUGCCUAUCAUUAGUUAUGAUUUAUUUACUGAGCUACUCCUGUUUUAUAUUGCUCGCUGUUUUAGUAUCAUGAUAGGCUGUGGGUUAAGUUAACUUGUUUACUUGUGUGAGCUUAUUAUAACUUUUGCUCCGUAAAUGAGUGUCCAGUGAGUUACUUAUGCUCUCAAGCAUUCAUCUUUAGCAUGUGCAUCUUCUUAUUGUUCGAGCAUGCAAUAGGUGCAUCGGACGCGACAGCCUCCUACGAGCUUCAGGCGAAUCCCGAAGGUCAGGAGGGCAGCCAGGAGGUGGAGGCCCAGCAAGCCGGACUCGAGGAGCCUGAAGAAGAAGUUGAGUGCCCGAAUCACGAGCCGGCAUCGUUCGUGAAAGGCAAGCCCCAGAGCAUUAUAAGUCUCCCUUUAUUUUCGAAAGUUUACUUAAUAUGUUAUAUCUAUUGAUGCAUUACGUAUAGGAGUUGUGAUGAAACAUUUGCUGCAUUCUACUCUAUCCUUGUCCAGAUAACUCACCACACCCUGGUUGUAGAGUUAGGAUCGAGUAGCAGCUUAGCCAUGCUUUAAUCGGUAGAAGUCGGGUGAUAUCCUGUCUCCUGCGCGAUAUAGGGUUAUGUCGGAUCACGAUGGUCUAUAUGUGCUAUCGUGGAUGGAACCUGAUUAAUUUGACUUAAGCCGGGUGGAGUUUUGCAAGUUUGUAGUAACUCCGUCUAUGGCAGCUAAGGACCGAUCGUUGUACGUCCUCUUGUCAUGUUGAACGCAUGCAUGACACUUCGUUGGCCGGAUAACUCGUUCCGACCGCGAAGCCGAGUAGUAUGACUCAGGCCGGAAGACCGGCAAGUAUAAAGUGCGCACUACCGGAGGAAGUGCGGUGUGCGGGGGACCAUUGGCGUAAGUCCAUAGGCAGGUGAGUUAAAAUUCCUGACCUCCCUGGCAGAGUGGUAGCCCUGGGAGUGCGGCGCUGAUCAGAGCCACGAUUCCUGAGUUGUACCAAAGGUGACCCGUUGGCUCUCCGGCAGGGGAUGCUUGGGUGAGUGCUAGGAAUAACCCUCUAGCUGGAUAGGAAUUCGAUUCGAAUCGCCGUCUCUCCCGGUUAGUGAGAACUUGACAGAGCAGCGGCAAACGUAGCACUCACUAAUAAAUUUGGUUCAUGAUAAUGAUGAUAGCAAGAAGAACAUAUGAUGAAUUUGAUAUGGUUAUUAUUGUUUGUAAUAAUCAAGUGAUAUGUUGUAGUACAGGUGCUAAUCUAGCGGUAGACUGAUAAUAAAUAAAUAUGAUGCUCUCAAAAUAACUUAGUCGUAAGUUAAGCUUUUGGCAAAAGGUGAGUCAACCAGCUCCACUUGAUAUUUAGCCUUGCAUGAUCCUUGGUGUCUUUUAUGUUUUACUAGACGGGUAAGUCUAGCUGAGUACAUUCUCGUACUCAGGAUUUAUUCCCACCUGUUGCAGAUGACAUCUUCUAUGACGGUUUCUGCAAGACCUGUCUCCAUCCCGCUAGGGAUGAGGACUAACCGUUGGGCACGGUUCUCUAACCAUCUCGUCUUUGAUGCUUUUGGAAGGAUGGCAUAGACUCUGGCAGUAACAAAAACUUGUGAACUGAACUUUGAACAAGUGCGUGUAAUUAUUUUGCUUCCGCUACUUCGAACUUGGGUUGUAAUAACUUAAUGACUCCGAUGUGGUGCCGCUUCGAUGGCAAUGAAUGACUAUGUAACAUUCGUUGUGUUUAUGUUGAACUAUUACGAUCUUGGUUUGUUGCGAGUUGGUUUGAAGUCCUUCGUGACUUCAAUUGACUACCGGGAUUAUAUGGGCUCAAGUUUGGAAACUUGAUUACUUGGCGAUCGUUUCUGCACUUGAACUCUUAUAAUUUGGUCGGUUCUGUGACAGUGCUGGCUGUGCUGCCCUUGCUGCUUGUGCUGCCUGCUCUUCUUGUUCCCUCCUCUCUGAGUUCCUGCGUGAAACAGAGCUCCUGUGUCCUCCUUCCCUGUCAAUGAGGGUGAAGGUGAGUGAUGGGGAAUUAUACAGAGCGAGAUCCGGGUUAAGUAACUGGAUCUCAUUUGUAUAUCCCGGAAAAUAAUAUAAAAUCUUUUUACAUGUUUUGUUGCGUUUAAUCAUAUGUGCAUGCGAAAGAUAUGAUUCAUUAAUCAUGAUGCGAGGAGUAGUGAUGUAAAUAAUGAUAUUAGCAGCAUGGGGAUCAACACUUGUUGCAAGGUGAGUAAUAAGAGAUGUGCACAUGAUAGCAGCGGAAGUCUUAAUGGAAUGCAACCAAUGAUUAACAAGCUCAACAACAGGUGCAACCUUAAUCUUUUUAAGCACAGCAUAAAGCAACUUCAACUCUAUGUCGUAAGUAAAAUGCGUAUCAUCUCUUGAAAAGAACAAACUAGCGAUCCACUUAUGGAGAAGACUCAGAGUGGGGUGAUGGAUGUUGGCAGAAUGCCCCUGAAACUUUCCAACGAUGUGUUACCCUGAGAUCAAAUGCGAGAAAGCAUGACGUUGGUAACCCCCGAUGGAGAAACCUAAGUCAAUGGAGCACCACUCAUGGAAACCCAAACGGUUGGCAAGAUCCUUCCAAUAAAUACCGAAAUCUCUUGCAAAGCAACGGAAGGUAAUACCAUAAUCGACAAUUUGUAGAGUGCCCAAAAUUUGGAUCGUCAAAAGACAUGACCCAAGCUCAUGAAUGGGGGCAAAUCUACUCCAACCAAGAUGCUCGAAAAUAGUAUCAAACUCCACAUCCAUACCUAUUUGGUGCAAGAAUGCGGGGUCCAAUGCCGGCGAAUGGAGGAACUCACGUUCCUUCAUGAGGUUGUAUGCCUGCAUCUCCCGCUCGCUCUCCAAGUCAAUGAAGGGGGCGUCGGCCUCGUCAAUGGCAUGGCCAUGUGGCUCCUCCUCUCCUCCAUGUGCCGGCUGAUCGUUCCUUGCAGGCGUUGGUGGAUCUUCCCCGCGUUGGUGGCAGCUCCUUCUAAGCCCAAAAAUUCUACUCAUGAUGGACGAGCUAGCACAAGUGUAUGGUGUUUUUGCUUGGAGAGGGAAGUGUGCAACAGGUUUUUGACAGAAUUUUCUUGCACUAAGCUUGUGGAGUAGGCUAUGAAGCAAGUGGAGCAAGAGAGUGAAGAAGGGUAGAGUAAAAAAAUGUGUGUGAGAGGCGUGAGGUGGUCCACCCAGGAUCCUCUCUAUUUAUAGAGUUGAUCGCAGGUGGGGGAGCGCCCCCCUCAAAGGCUACUAGCCGUUGCCCAAAGGCCGAGGCCAGCAGGCCUUGGGCAGGGUGCGGCCACACCAUGGUGCGCCCGCACGAGUGGUGGGCCCGCCUCUGCCCGGCCUUUUGGCUGCUGGCUCCAACGGUCACCCCAAACUUCUCUCUGAUCAGACUUGGUUCAAAAUCUUGCUCCAGAUUUUGAUUUUCCACAUAUUUAUUCAAAAUAUUUUUGGUUUUCAAAAAUUAUAAAAAAUAAGAUUUGGAAAUGGGAAAAUCUAUACUACCAGAAAAUAAUUUUUAUAAGAUUUUCAGAGAAACAUUAUUUUUGACUAAAAAUAAAACUAUAGAAAGGGAAACUUUGGAAACGAAAAAUAAAAACUUUCUAUAAAAAGGGAAACUAAAACGAAAUUUAAAGAAUUUAAAAAGACAUAAUACCUGAGCGGGGACACCUCCCCCAAGCUUGCUUGAUGUCUUGGGCCCCCUUCAGAUAUCUUUAUUGGGACACGAAUAGCACAAAAUUUAUUUUUGUUAGAUAACUACUGAAUGCCUUUGGCAAUGGCUCAACAUUUAUAGUCCGUUGGCAAGACUUUCCUUCCUUCAUUCUUCUAUGGCUGCAAGGACGAACCUAGUAGAGGUUUUCGGUUGCCCUAGGAUCCUCUCUGUGUGUCAGUGACUGGAAUUGAUGCAGCUAUCUGUGCUAUCUGUGUUUCUAUCAUCUUGUUGAAACUCGUCUAACUUUGGAUAGAUGAACAAAGAGUUUCAAGCUUGGCAUUGAUGUUCUCAAUGAUCUUGUCAUUGUAGGACAGCUUCUUGGUCAGAUUCUCAUUGAUUUUAGCUUGCCCUAUGACCAAAUCAUUCAAGGAAGGCUUGAUUGAAGAAAUUUCCGUGCGGGCAGUGCUGAUUGUUCCACCCAUUGUUACCUUGCUGUGGUGGCCGAAACCCAUUGUUGACAUAUGCUGCUUCUUCUUGGGUUUCAGGGCAAUUGUUCCCCGAAUGGCCAUCAUCACCACAAACUUCACACAAUAUGUGUGAGUUCACUGCUUGGACGGUGCCCAUGUUGGGAUUUGCAACUUGUCCACCCGUUGGCUCUCCGGCAGGGGAUGCUUGGGUGAGUGCUAGGAAUAACCCUCCAGCUAGAUAGGAAUUCGAUUCGAAUCGCCGUCUCUCCCGAUUAGUGAGAACUUGACUGAGCAGCGGCAAACGUAGCACUCACUAAUAAAUUUGGUUCAUGAUAAUGAUGAUAGCAAGAAGAACAUAUGAUGAAUUUGAUAUGGUUAUUAUUGUUUGUAAUAAUCAAGUGAUAUGUUGUAGUACAGGUGCUAAUCUAGCGGUAGACUGAUAAUAAAUAAAUAUGAUGCUCUCAAAAUAACUUAGUCGUAAGUUAAGCUUUUGGCAAAAGGUGAGUCAACCAGCUCCACUUGAUAUUUAGCCUUGCAUGAUCCUUGGUGUCUUUUAUGUUUUACUAGACGGGUAAGUCUAGCUGAGUACAUUCUCGUACUCAGGGUUUAUUCCCACCUGUUGCAGAUGACAUCUUCUAUGACGGUUUCUGCAAGACCUGUCUCCAUCCCGCUGGCGAUGAGGACUAACCGUUGGGCACGGUUCUCUAACCAUCUCGUCUUUGAUGCUUUUGGAAGGAUGGCAUAGACUCUGGCAGUAACAAAAACUUGUGAACUGAACUUUGAACAAGUGUGUGUAAUUAUUUUGCUUCCGCUACUUCAAACUUGGGUUGUAAUAACUUAAUGACUCCGAUGUGGUGCCGCUUCGACGGCAAUGAAUGACUAUGUAACAUUCGUUGUGUUUAUGUUGAACUAUUACGAUCUUGGUUUGUUGCGAGUUGGUUUGAAGUCCUUCGUGACUUCAAUUGACUACCGUGGGCUCAAGUUUGGAAACUUGAUUGCUUGGCGAUCGUUUCUGCACUUGAACUCUUAUAAUUUGGUCGGUUCUGUGACAGCUGGUAUCGGAGCAAGUUCAGCAUUAUAAAUGCAGCGUUUGUGUAUUUAAAACAAAAGAGUUUUUAAAUAAAAUGGUGUAAAUCAAUAAUUAAGUUAUGCCAGUGGUCGAAUCCUCCUUGCCCACAUAAGGACUAUAGGUGGCUAUUUAAGUACUGACUUGGGGGGUUUUAUUUAAGCAUCUCCGGCAAUACUCAGGUAUGGAUGUGUGAUGACCGCACUAUGCUACCCUGCGGUCGAAUGGUGGAGGUAGCCUUCAUAUGUGAAUUAGCCAGAUAUGUCGCUAGAUUUAAAUUAUGCAACGUCGCUCCUACGCCCUGGUAAGUGUGAGCUGUGAGAGCAUGAUCGUCCAAACGGCGGUCUAGGGUUGUGUUCACGGUGGUUUUCUGGAGUGGUUACAUGUCAAAACCAUGGAACCACGAAAGAAACUUAAUUGGGGAGCAUUUAAUUUCUCGGGUAGUUGUGGUGUCAUUGUUUGUGCAUGUUGGGCAUGUCCAAGCAAUGUGCACUUAGUUUACUGCUUUCUUGAGUGAUAUUGGGAACUGUUGGGCUGAAAUGAAGUUUUCUGCAGGUACUCUAACAGCGCAUGUGUAAACCGAUAGUUAUCGUAUCGAGAGACGAAUGUAUGCCACCGUAUAUCCGUUAGAAUAUUAAUUUUCUAAGUUUGUGAGGACGUACGGUUCGUGCAUGCAUCAUGUCGCAUUCAUGCAUACAUUCUGUCUACUCCUUCCCUUACAAUUUCGUCCCUUUUAAGUAAAUAAAUGUUGCUUAAACUAAUCCUCUUUUACCAUGGUAUUCCUAUUCCUUUUCACAGAUGGACGCACCCGCUUCACCCCGUCCCAGUGACACUUUCUUGAGCGAGUUUGGCACUCCUACCUUGCUCUGGAGAGUGCUUCAGUCUGUCGGGUAUACUGAGCCACCUCAGUAUUCCUGGUGGGAGUUGGAGAGCACUGGAGGGAUACAGUGGUUUGCUGUGCAGGGAGUUGUCCCUCCGCAUGGGGACAAGCCUGCAUGGACAGGCUGGACUUGUAGCUCAGAUGGGCAGACUCCUUGGGAGGCAGCUCAGGUUGCAGCCCAGACCAUCCUGCUUGAUAUCUGUCAGAGGUGUGGAGAUGAGCUGAUGGGAGGACCAGCGGCCUCCAUUCCCAGUGCUGACCCAGCAGCAGCGAAGUGGAAACAGGCUGACGGUUGUGCUUUGGUUCGAGGCAGGGGAGAGAGAGCUGAGAGUUCUAGUCCUGCUAUGAGUGCUAUGAUGGCUGUGCUCAAGCUGAUUAGUCAGCGAGAGGGCACCUAUGCACAGGUGAUGGUGGCUGUUCGUAGGGCCCAGGAGAUGCAGCGGAAGGCUGAGAAGCGUGCUCGCAAGUUUCGCAAGCAAGCUAGACUCUUGGAGCAAGCUCAGAAGGACCGCAAUGACUGGGAAGACAUUGCGGAGUACCGUAGGCAGCAGUGGGUGAAGGCCAUUAGAGAAAGAGAUCAUAAGCAGGAUCAGAUGAGCCAGUUAGCUAGAGAGAGAGAGACCUUACAGGAGCGCUUGGUGCAGCUCACCCGUGAGAGGGAUACUGCACUCCGCGUGUCAGAGAAUAGGCGCCAAGCAUGGGAGAUGCACCGAGUUCAGUCGCUUGAGCGGGAAAACUAUCUACAGGAUCAGAUUGAGGCUGGUCUUGUGGAGAUUCACCGUCUCAACAACUUGCUAUACCCUAUUCCUCGCCCUAUACCCGUGUAUCCAGAGGUGGGACCUCAGGUGAUUGUGGCCGAUGAUGAUGGUAUGGAGGUCGAUGGACCAGCAGCGGCUGCACCACCUUUGCACGAGGACGUGGAGGACGAGGAGCUUGAGCCGGUUAGCGACGAGGAUGGAGAGGCGAUCUUCGACGCUGACUCGGACAACGAGCCUGGAGUGUAGGGAGUAGUGGGUAGUGUCUUGUGAGGAUCUUUUGUAGUUGGCAGCUAGUGGUGAUGCUUUUGUACCCAUGUUGUAAUCCGGAACUUUGACCUUGACUCAUAGCAUGUACUGUGUUGGUGUAAUAACUUUAUGGACCCAAUGUGCAAUCUUAACAUGUUCGUUAUGUUAUGCCGAUGUUUUCCGUUGUGGUGCGUAUUGCGGAUAUCUAUGUCAUGUGUUGGAUUGGUGAUGUUGUUUUGUGGAAUUGAAUUGUUGUGCCUUUCUGUAAAGCUAUUCUCUCGAAUACUUUCAGGCAUGAAUAUAAGUUCUUCUGCGGCAAAUCUUGUCAUCAUCAAUGCUCACUGACUGUGUCUUUAUAGAUGUCUCGUGGCACCCGAGGUGCGGAACAACGUGCAAACAUGAAUCCCCCUCCUCCUCCCCCACCACCAAAUCCAGCUGAGCUGAUGCAAAUGAUGGUGGAAAAUCAGAGGAUGCUCACUGAGACCAUCAAUCGGAUGGCAAAUCAGGGUGGUCGUAAUGCACAGGAAGGGCCAGCUCCCAACCAGUACAGUAGCUUCAAGGACUUCAUGGAUACGAAGCCCCCACCUUUCAGAGAAGCUGAAGAACCCCUUCAAGCUGAAGAAUGGCUGAACACGGUGGAACAAAAGUUCCGCUUGCUUCGUUUGACUGAAGGUUUGAAGGCAGAGUAUGCAGCUCACCAACUGCAAGGACCGGCAGGCAUCUGGUGGAAUCAGUAUCGGGAAGCUCUUCCAGCCAACACAGUGCUUUACUGGAAUCUUUUCCGUGAAGCUUUCAAGGGGCAUUUCAUUCCUCCUGGUGUCAUGGAGAUGAAGCAUACUGAGUUUAUGCAGUUGACUCAAGGUAACAAGACUCUAAAGGAGUAUUUGCAUGCUUUCAAUCAUUUGUCUAGGUAUGCUACUGAGUUUGUGAACACGGAGACGAAAAAGAUUGCUAGCUUCAAGCGGGGUUUGGGCCCCAAAUUGCUGAAGACUAUGGGCCGCAGUAAGUGUGCAAGUUUCAAUGAGUUUGUCAGUGAUGCUCUCACUCAAGAGAACUAUAACACUAUGUACACUGCGACCAAGACUCGCAAGAGGGCUUUUGAGGCCGGAGCCGGGUCAUCUCUGUCCAAGGCUCCAGUGGCAGCUAAGCCACCGUUCCGUGCUCCAACGCCUAACCAGCGGUACCGCCCUCCGAUGAAGAAGAAUCAGGCCAAGACGGGUUUUCGCAAGGAGUACUCUAUUGCGCUUCCUAGGGGCAACACGGGUCCCAACUAUGCCAAGACUCCACCUGCCAACCGUCCGUGCUGGAACUACAAUCAGACCGGGCAUUGGCAGAGCAACUGUCCUUACCCGCCAAAAAAGGGCAACCAAGGGAACGUCCGUCAGGGGCGUGUUCACUACACCACUGUGGAAGCAAUCCCUGCUAGUGAGGUAGUCACGGCUGGUAAGUUUCUGGUUAAUCAACAUGAUGCACUCGUGCUUUUUGAUUCUGGAGCAUCGCAUUCCUUUGUGAGUUCUGAAUUUGUGUCUAAGCAUAGCAUCAAGGCCAUUACACUUGAUAAGGGCAGUUAUUGUAUUAGUGCUGCGGGGAAUGAUAUUUCCACCAAUCAAGUGGUUUUGGGGGCAACUCUGGAUAUAGGAGGCCUUCAGUUUCUUGCUGAUUUGGUUAUUCUACACGGUGUGGGCAUAGAUGUAAUUCUGGGGAUGAAGUGGAUGAGUGGCAAUGGAGUUCUUAUCGACACCACCACUCGUGUAGUGAUGUUGAAAGACCCAGAUACCAAGGAGGCAUUUCUAGUGCAACUUCCUCGUGAUAUUCAAAUCCGUAGCACUGUGAAUGCAGUUACAUCUAAAGCUAUUCAGGACAUUCCGGUGGUGUGUGAGUUUCCGGAUGUAUUUCCUGAUGAUUUGCCCGGGCUUCCUCCAGAUCGGGAUGUGGAGUUCAAAAUUGAAUUGAUUCCAGGUACCGCUCCUAUCUCUAGAAGACCUUAUAGAAUGCCACCCAAUGAAUUAGCUGAGCUUAAGACCCAACUAAAUGAGUUGUUGAAGAAGGGUCUUAUUCGUCCUAGUUCUUCUCCUUUGGGUUGUCCGGCUAUCUUUGUGAAGAAGAAGGAUCAAUCUUUGCGCAUGUGUGUGGACUAUCGUCCCCUAAAUGUGGUGACUAUUAAGAACAAAUACCCUCUUCCUCCCAUUGAUAUCUUGUUUGAUCAGUUGUCUAAAGCUAAAGUAUUCUCCAAGAUUGAUUUGCGAUCUGGGUACCAUCAGAUCAAGAUCCGUCCUGAAGAUAUACCUAAGACAGCUUUCUCGACGAGGUAUGGGCUGUAUGAGUACCUUGUCGUGUCCUUCGGUCUUACAAAUGCACCUGCUCACUUCAUGUAUCUCAUGAAUUCGGUGUUCAUGCCCGAAUUGGACAAGUUUGUGGUGGUCUUCAUUGAUGAUAUCUUGGUAUAUUCCUACAAUGAAGAGGAGCAUGCAGAGCAUCUGCGUGUAGUGUUGUCGCGUUUGCGCGAACAUCAGCUUUAUGCCAAGUUCAGCAAAUGCGAGUUUUGGCUAAAGAAAGUACCUUUCUUGGGCCAUGUCUUAUCUGAAGAAGGCAUAUCGGUGGAUCCGGCUAAGGUGCAAGAAGUGCUGGAUUGGAAAGUUCCAACUUCGGUACACGAGGUUCGGAGUUUUCUUGGUCUGGCAGGAUAUUACCGUCGAUUCAUUCUGGAAUUCUCCAAAAUAUCCAAGCCUAUGACUCGUCUACUUCAGAAAGGUGAGAAGUUUGUGUGGACACCUGAGUGUGAAGAGGCAUUCCACAAGUUGAGGACAUUGCUGACAUCAGCUCCUGUCCUAGCUCAACCUGAUAUCGAAAAGCCCUUUGAUGUCUUUUGUGACGCGUCGGGCAUUGGUUUAGGCUGUGUGUUGAUGCAGGAAGGUCGCGUAAUCGCGUAUGCCUCACGCCAACUUCGAAAGCAUGAGGUCAAUUACCCUACUCAUGACUUAGAAUUGGCAGCAGUUGUUCAUGCUUUGAAAAUCUGGAGGCAUUAUUUGCUGGGUAAUCUGUGUAAUAUCUACACCGAUCACAAGAGCCUCAAGUAUAUCUUCACUCAACCUGAACUGAACAUGCGACAACGAAGAUGGCUUGAGUUGAUUAAAGAUUAUAAUCUCCAAGUGCACUAUCAUCCGGGAAAGGCAAACGUGGUGGCGGAUGCCUUGAGUCGGAAAGCGCACUGUCACUCAAUCCAAGUGGAAGAUCCGUUGUUAUCACAUUUUAUGCAUCCACUUGUGCUCAACCAGAUUUCUCUGGAAAGUACCAUUCGCAAUCGAGUCAUCGAAUUGUAGCAGACAGAUGUAGGCAUCCACCAUAUAAAGAGGAAAAUGAAGGAAGAAGAAACCAAGCAUUUCCGGGUCGAUGAGAACGGAAUCCUUUGGUUCAAGGAUCGACUUGUGGUCCGAAAAGACCGUGAGCUGCGAAAUCAGAUCUUAUCUGAGGCUCAUUCAUCUAAAUUGUCUAUUCAUCCUGGUAGUAGCAAGAUGUAUCAGGAUUUAAAACCGUUGUUUUGGUGGACAAAGAUGAAAAAGGAGAUAGCUGCUUUUGUCGCUCGCAGUGACAAUUGUUGUCGUGUGAAGGCUGUUCACAUGAAAGCUGGUUUGCUUCAACCCUUGUCAAUUCCAGGUUGGAAAUGGGAAGAAGUCAGCAUGGAUUUCAUCGUUGGGUUCCCAACUUCUGUUAAGGGUUACGACUCCAUCUGGGUGAUUGUAGAUCAUUUGACCAAGGUUGCUCGAUUUAUUCUAGUUCGAACCGACUAUCGUCCACAUCAGUAUGCGGAGUUGUAUUUCGAGCACAUUGUUCGUCAGUAUGGUGUGCCUCGAACGAUCAUAUCCGAUCGUGGACCACAGUUCACUGCUCGUUUUUGGGAAUGUUUGCAUGAGCAGAUUGGUGCUCAUUUAGUCUGCAGCUCUGCUUAUCAUCCCCAAACAGCUAGUCAAACUGAACGAGUUAACCAAAUCCUUGAAGACAUGUUGAGGGCAUGCACUCUCUCUUCAAAAGGUUCUUGGGUUAAGUGGUUGCCAUUGGCUGAGUUCUCCUACAACAAUAGUUAUCAAGAGAGUAUCAAGAUGGCUCCAUUUGAAGCCUUGUAUGGUCGAAAGUGUCGAACCCCGUUGAAUUGGGUAGAAGCCGGAGAGCGAAGGUAUUAUGGCAUCGAUUUCGUGAACGAAGUCGAGCAGAAAGUCCGUACUAUCUAGCAACAUCUGGAAGCUGCUCAAGCUCGUCAGAAAAGUUAUGCCGACAAGAGAAGGAAGCCGAUUGAGUUUUUAGUUGGUGACCAUGUGUACAUCAAGGUGUCUCCGAUGAAGGGUGUACAAAGGUUCGAAGUCAAGCGAAAGCUUGCACCUCGCUAUGUGGGACCUUAUCGAAUUCUCGAAAAGAAAGGGAAUGUGGCAUACAAAGUUCAACUCCCAGUUGCGCUUCGAGCUAUUUUCCCUGUCUUCCACGUCUCACAAUUGAAGAAGUGCCUUCGCGUACCGGAGGAACGAGUGGAAGUUCGAGAUAUCAAGUUGAAUUCAGACUUGGUGUAUGAGGAGAAACCUGUGGUGAUUCUUGAUCGCAAGGAACGGGAGACGCGUAAUCGUGUGGUCAAGCUCUACAAGGUGUUGUGGAGUAACCACGGGGAGGAAGAUGCUACUUGGGAGACGGAGGAUUAUUUAAAAGAAGUUUACAAAACAUUCUUCGAAAAUCAGUAAGCUUUCAAAUCUCGGGACGAGAUUUUUGUAAGGGGGGAGGGCUGUAACACCCCAGUGUUAUGGUUGCAUUAGUAAUGUGUAUAGCAUGAGCAUCAUCAUCCAUUCAAAGCAUCCAUGAUCAUCAUCUAUCUUGAGCCAUGUCAUUCUAUGCAAAAAUGUGUUUGAGUGAACCAUGCUUGUGUUUGUGCCCUAUGCCUUGCCAAUUAGUUUAUCUAUGCUUAGCUUAACCUUGGGAACAAUGUUCAUGUUGAUCACUUCUCAAAAAUCAUCACUUAAGUCAUACUUAUGCAAAUAGGCCCUAGAAACCUCUUUUGCUUAGGCUUUUAAAAAGUGUUUCAUAACAUGUUUCCAUGUCAAAACUUCCUACAGAAAAGUUGUAGCAAAUUUUAUAAGGAACAAAAGUUAUUUUAUGGCCAUCUCAUGAAAAUGAUCACAAAUAGCUCAAAAGUGACCCACAAGGCAAAUUUGGGCUGUUUCCAACACUCAGAAAAUUUCUCUAAGUCUGGAAUCACUGCAGUUUGCUCAAGGGGGUAUUGUUCAUCUUCUAGUUUGAUUUCUAGCCCGUAUCAGACUAUGAUCUUGUAAGCAAUGUUGGAGUACUCAUGUAGCUCUCCAGCAUAGAGCAUUUAGUCAGCAAAAUCAUCGAGUGGUUUAGGAGAUAAUCAUCGUGCAAAAUCUAGUUUCAGUCGGUAAUCGCGAGGUCUGAUGCAGAGCUGAGCUCGCCGUCGUGGACGCUCAGCGCGACAUCUGUCCGCCAGAUGGCGCCCGUACGCCGGCGACGGCCCCGCUCGUCACGUCGUCGAUGUUGGCAUGGACACUACGGCGCCCCGCACUCACUCAGCGCCCGUCCGUUCUCCUCCUCCGCUCUCUCGCGCUCGCUCUGGCGGAAAACGCCGUCGCCAUUGCCGCCGAGAGCUUCGCCAGCUCCUCGCGCCCUCGCCUCUGCCUCUUGCUUCGCCUCCGAGCGCCUCCAAGUCUGCCUCGAGCUCCUCCAUCUUCUCCACCCUUCAGUUGGACGAGAUCUCCACGAGGUGAGCGGCAUUUCGCAAGUUCUCUGUCGUCGGGUUCGCGGUCGUCGCGACACCGAUUCCGGCGAACCUCGCCGCUGCUCCACCCUUGCCUCCUUUCUUCUCUCUGGGUAGCAUUAGGGUCUGCUUAGGUCUUGGCGUCGGUCCACACCACGCUAUUACGGCUGAAACCUCACCGUCGCGCGGGAACACGGCCGCUGCACCGCCGUGCUCACCGCCGACGAGCACCUCGCACGUGAGCAGGUUCACCGGAGCCGUUAGGGUUAGGCGCUCCUACCUCGAAAGCUCCGCGCUGACUCACUGAUGCUGUAGCCACCCUUCCCCGACGCUCUACCGGUCGGAGAUGGCCGGCGUAAGCCGGGGUAGCUCCGCCGUGCCGCCAUGGCCGACGGCGACCCCUCUCCGUAGCCGAAACCCUAGCGCCACCUACCUCAAUCGACGCGGAAUCUUCCCAGGAGCACGUUGGUGCCCUUGGAUCCGCCGGAGAAGCUCACCGUCGGCGAGCGUUUGCCGGCGAAAGAGUCCUCUGUUCUCGGUGUCACUGACGCGCGGGUCCCGUCUGCCAGUGACUCAACGGUCGCCCCCUUUCUUUUAUUCAAAUCUGGAUUUUUGGCUUUCUUGCAAAAAUCAUAUCUCCUGUUUCAGAGAUCCAAAAAUUGUGAAACAAAUUUUGUGGCAUUCCUUGAGAUGGCUAGUUUUUAAUAAAAAUAUAAAAUGAACAAUGUUUUCUGGGAAAAUAUUUAUUAAGUAUUUAAUCUUGUUAUUCAUGGAGAAAUGCAUAUCUCUUGUGAUACUGCUUAGUUUACUCUGAAAAUUUUAUGGUAGUCUCUGUAUGGUAUGAGAGUGCUUUGGUAAAUAUUUCAUGAUUUUGGGUGUACUGCAGCUUUGAUAUGCAAUUUAUGAUUGAAAUGUGGCUUGUUUCUUGAAUUAAAUCAUAUAAAAUAAUUGGUGCUUGUGCUGGUGCUCUACUUUGGUACUAAACAUGUUCAUGGUAUUUCUCAUAUAUAAAUAAUCUGAAAUCUGUUGUUUGGUACCAUAUAAGUCAUGUUUCUGAAUUUAUGAAAUAAACACCUAGGCUCAUGUUAAAUACAUAUCUUUAUUUUGGUAUGCGCAUUUGCUCUGAAAUUUUUAUGGUGAUACUGUAAUGCUAUACUUGUGUCUCUGUAAAUUUUGUAGAUUUUUCUGAGCACUUCGACUAGUGUCUUGUAAUUAUGCCCUUUUCUAUAAUUAAUUAAUAAAUGCCUUGUUAAGUAAAUGUUUGAGGGUUAUCAUUGGGUGUUCUGGUAACCUGGUGAUAUGCUUGUGCUCAUAAGUCAUGUGGUUGGCAUGGUUUAUGUCUUGGUCAUGUCAUCAAAUAAUUAAUUAAAGGGUUAAAAGCUGUUCUGGACAGCAAGGGAAUACUUUAACUUUUGAUUAGUGAUGACUUGCUUUUCUGGGAAACUUGUCUCAAUCAAAGUUGUUGUAAAUUAUUGAACUAACUGUGGUUUAAACUUGGGGUCAUUUGGUCCAGUAGUUUAAAAGUUAUGGCUGUUCCAAGUUAGGUUCCAGAAAUAGGUGCUCUCUGUUUUUCUGGAACAGAACCUGGAACCUUGUUUAAAUGACUAGUUCAAUGUAUGAAUCUUGUUGUGAUGUUUAAAGAUGAUUUGUAGACAAUUUCAUAAGCUUUCCAGAAGGUCUUUACUUAUGUUUGUUGGAUCUGCCUAUCAUUAGUUAUGAUUUAUUUACUGAGCUACUCCUGUUUUAUAUUGCUUGCUGUUUUAGUAUCAUGAUAGGCUGUGGGUUAAGUUAACUUGUUUACUUGUGUGAGCUUAUUAUAACUUUUGCUCCGUAAAUGAGUGUCCAGUGAGUUACUUAUGCUAUCAAGCAUUCAUCUUUAGCAUGUGCAUCUUCUUAUUGUUCGAGCAUGCAAUAGGUGCAUCGGACGCGACAGCCUCCUACGAGCUUCAGGCGAAUCCCGAAGGUCAGGAGGGCAGCCAGGAGGUGGAGGCCCAGCAAGCCGGACUCGAGGAGCCCGAAGAAGAAGUUGAGUGCCCGAAUCACGAGCCGGCAUCGUUCGUGAAAGGCAAGCCCCAGAGCAUUAUAAGUCUCCCUUUAUUUUCGAAAGUUUACUUAAUAUGUUAUAUCUAUUGAUGCAUUACGUAUAGGAGUUGUGAUGAAACAUUUGCUGCAUUCUACUCUAUUCUUGUCCAGAUAACUCACCACACCCUGGUUGUAGAGUUAGGAUCGAGUAGCAGCUUAGCCAUGCUUUAAUCGGUAGAAGUCGGGUGAUAUCCUGUCACCUGCGCGAUAUAGGGUUAUGUCGGAUCACGAUGGUCUAUAUGUGCUAUCGUGGAUGGAACCUGAUUAAUUUGACUUAAGCCGGGCGGAGUUUUGCAAGUUUGUAGUAACUCCGUCUGUGGCAGCUAAGGACCGAUCGUUGUAUGUCCUCUUGUCAUGUUGAACGCAUGCCUGACACUUAGUUGGCCGGAUAACUCGUUCCGACCGCGAAGCCGAGUAGUAUGACUCAGUCCGGAAGACCGGCAAGUAUAAAGGGCGCACUACCGGAGGAAGUGCGGUGUGCAGGGGACCAUUGGCGUAAGUCCAUAGGCAGGUGAGUUAAAAUUCCUGACCUCCCUGGCAGAGUGGUAGCCCUGGGAGUGCAGCGCUGAUCGGAGCCGCGAUUCCUGAGUUGUACCAAAGGUGACCCGUUGGCUCUCCGGCAGGGGAUGCUUGGGUGAGUGCUAGCAAUAACCCUUCAGCUGGAUAGGAAUUCGAUUCGAAUCGCCGUCUCUCCCGGUUAGUGAGAACUUGACAGAGCAGCGGCAAACGUAGCACUCACUAAUAAAUUUGGUUCAUGAUAAUGAUGAUAGCAAGAAGAACAUAUGAUGAAUUUGAUAUGGUUAUUAUUGUUUGUAAUAAUCAAGUGAUAUGUUGUAGUACAGGUGCUAAUCUGGCGGUAGACUGAUAAUAAAUAAAUAUGAUGCUCUCAAAAUAACUUAGUCGUAAGUUAAGCUUUUGGCAAAAGGUGAGUCAACCAGCUCCACUUGAUAUUUAGCCUUGCAUGAUCCUUGGUGUCUUUUAUGUUUUACUAGACAGGUAAGUCUAGCUGAGUACAUUCUCGUACUCAGGGUUUAUUCCCACCUGUUGCACAUGACAUCUUCUAUGACGGUUUCUGCAAGACCUGUCUCCAUCCCGCUAGGGAUGAGGACUAACCGUUGGGCACGGUUCCCUAACCAUCUCGUCUUUGAUGCUUUUGGAAGGAUGGCAUAGACUUUGGCAGUAACAAAAACUUGUGAACUGAACUUUGAACAAGUGUGUGUAAUUAGUUUGCUUCCGCUACUUCGAACUUGGGUUGUAAUAACUUAAUGACUCCGAUGUGGUGCCGCUUCGACGACAAUGAAUGACUAUGUAACAUUCGUUGUGUUUAUGUUGACUAUUACGAUCUUGGUUUGUUGCGAGUUGGUUUGAAGUCCUUCGUGACUUCAAUUGACUACCGGGAUUAUAUGGGCUCAAGUUUGGAAACUUGAUUGCUUGGCGAUCGUUUCUGCACUUCAACUCUUAUAAUUUGGUCGGUUCUGUGACAAUUAUUAUUAAUCAAAUGGUAAUCAAGGUGUUAAACUAGGUUUUUGGAAAACUAUCUAGUGUGCCAUAGUCAUAUCCUUUAUGCCCAGUUAAGGACACUAAGGUGGCUAGUUAAGUACUGACUUGGGGGUUAAUGCAUCAUAUUUCUAUUUCGUCGCUCAUACGGCAUGCAAUAGUAUGAGUACCAUUCAUUUGAGUGGUAAUGUAUAGAUCAAUUCUUCCUCCACGCCUCGGUAAGUGGGAGCUGUGAGAGCAUGAUCGGAUACACCGCCGAUCUAGGGAAGUGUUGUUAGGUGCUGUGUCAUGUACACAUGUUUGGUGUGCCUGGGAACAGUACCGCAUGUUGGGAGAUUCCGUCCUGAGAGGCGAUGCCGUCACUAGGGCGAUGAUGUGGGUAGUACACGUCAUAUGCAUGGACAGGGUGUCUAUCUGUGUGGGGUGUAUAGCUUUAAAAUCUUGUUCUGCAUGUUCAUACUCUGGUUGGGCUGAAAUGAGAUUUCUGCAGGUACACUAACCACGUUCCCGCCUAGAACGCUAGUUACGUUAUGAGAGAACGUGUGUGCCACCGCUAUACCGAUUAGUGAUAACUUUUGUUUCUAAGUUUGUGAGAUCGUAAGUUCGUGCAUGCAUCAUAUUCAUUUCAUUUCAUUGCUUACUUCCUCCCCUUAAUUAAAUCUGCCCCAAUUUUUUUUAAUUAAGUUAAUAAAAGGUACUCCUCAAUCUUACCUAAGGUAUUCCAUUUGCAGCAGAUGGCACGCACUAGGCUCACCGCUCGCAAGUCCACUGGUGGGCGGGCCCCUCGCCAUCAGUUGGCAGCCAGGAGCUCGCGUCAUAAGAGCAAGUUCCUGGAGGAGUUUGGGAUGCCCACCUUGCUGUGGACGGUGCUCAGUUCAAUGGGGUAUCCGAAAGGGAGGGAACCUCGCUACUAUUGGAACAAAGAGUAGCUUGGUGAUGGGACCCUGGUGGGGAUCGAGGCAGUGGUCCCUACCAGCGGAGGUGACCCAGCUUGGGGCGGCUGGGUGUACGAGUCUCGAGGUACCACGCCUUUCCACGGUGCCAGCCGAGCAGCUUUUGCAGUUCUGAGGGACCUCAUGGAGAGGUUUCCACAGGAGCUGGCCCACGCCUUCGCUGGGGUGUUUCCUUGGGGUGACCCCUACACUUCGGUGUGGGGUCAGUCUGAGGUGAACGCUCUAGAGAGGAGUGCGGAUGAGGACCAGCACAGUGACAGUGCAGCCAUGAGCACUAUGUUCGCCUUGAUGAAGACCUAUGGGGGUCUGGAGCGUUGCUUGGGACGCUUGUCUGGGUCCCUUCUCACAGUCCAGGAUGAGAAGCGCCAGUUGCAGCGUGAGUUCGACGCUGAGGUUGAGAGGUUGCAGGCAGAGUUGGCCCGCGUGACCCAAGAGAGGGAUCAGGUGGUCCAGAAGAACUGUGAGCUGAGUCAGGACCUGCUUGCAGUGAGAGAGCAGAGGGAUAGGGUGACUACUGCUCACAGGAACUGCGAGUGCAUGUUAGUUCAUGUGCUUGGUCAGAGAAAUGAAGCAUUGCACGAGGAGGACACCCUGAGGGCCCGACAGCUAGAGCUUGAGCAGCAGCUAGCCAAUGCUGAGGAGUACAAUGAGAACCUGCAUGAGGAGAUCCACCAGCUGCAUAACCAGCUCCACCCUCACCACCUGCCUGGAGCAGCUGAGUUAGAUUCUGAGGAUGAGAUGGAUGAGGAUCCAAAGAUAGAGGCCGCUGCUAGUGGAGAUGAGGACGAGGAGGGCUUCGGCAUGGACAGUGAACAUAGCGAGUAGAUGCUAGGGCUCUAGAGCUAGUCCUUAUUCUUUUAUGGUUGUUGUUGCAUAGCAUGUCCUGUAAUCUGUGGGUCUGGGCUGUGUAAAACUUCAUGUGAUGACGCUGAAAGUCCAGUGUAUGUAUGCUGGCAAUUUUGGAUGUAUGCGAACCUUGUUGCUCGAAUGUUAAGUAAUCUGUUAGUGAUGUUGUGUGUGGAUGAUGAAUUGUUGUGCCUCUAUUUAUUGUGCGAAUUUAUUUUCCUCAGUAAAUUCAGUACGGCAUAAUUCUACAUAUGUCUACCGUUGAUGGCAACUCCUAACGAUUGCUUAUCAUUGACGCAUGCAGAUGGUGCAAACACGUGGCGGGGGUAACAGCAACCCCGGUCUUGGAGCAGGUACUUCCGGAGGUGGGGCUCAACGGAAUGAGGAAAGAGCACCAUCACCGCCACCACCACCACCUCCUCCGUACACUGCAGACGUAUUUUCGCACAGUUUCUGGGGAGCCAACGCAACAUGGAACAGAUGCAGCGCAACAUGGAAGAAGCCCUGUGCAAUAUCGUUGACAAUACCCGCCGUGGGGAUAACCAGGGCGGUCACGAAGCCAAUCAGUACAGCUCUUUCAAGGACUUCAUGGAUACCAAACCACCUGUUUUCAAGGAGGCCUUAGAAUCGCUCGAGGCAGAUGAGUGCAUCAACACCAUGGAGCAAAAGUUCCGUCUUCUUCGGAUGACUGAAGAACUUAAGGCUGAGUAUGCAGCGCAUCAGUUGCGGGGACCUACUGGGAUUUGGUGGUCCCAUCAUCGUACCACCUACCCAGAGGGGACCCCAAUCACCUGGAACCGCUUCACCACCGCGGGGAAAUUAUAUUCCUCCUGGUGUGGUGGAAAUGAAGGUUGGAGAAUUCAUGAGGCUGUCUCAGGGAACCAAGUCUGUGAAGGAGUAUCUACACGCUUUCAAUAAUCUUGCUCGCUAUGCCCCUGAGUUUGUGAACACGGAGGCCAAGAAAAUCGCUAGUUUCCAGAGGGGUUUGAGCCCAAAGAUGGUGAAGACCAUGGGUACAGGGACCCGAGCUACCUUCAAUACUUACAUUAGUGACUGUCUGACCCAGGAAAACAAUAACAACAACUAUAGUGCAUCCAAGUCUCGUAAGAGGGCUUUUUGAAGCCGGGUCAUCUCAGUCUAGGGCACCGGUGGCAGGGCGACAGCAGUAUCGUCCUCCUGCCCCACGUGCUAGGUUCGGACCGCCGUAAAGAAGGAACACCGGGCAUCCAACGCAACAGAAGCCGUACAAGGUGGCGAUAGCUCCUGCCAAGCCAAAGCCAAUUCAAGCCGCAGUACCUGCCGCCAACAAUACGACCAAGGGACUGUGCUAUAACUGCCACAAGAUGGGGCACUUUACUAAGGAAUGUCCCUACCCCAAGAGGCAACAGACAACCUACCCAGCUCGGGUGCACCAUACCUCGAUAGAGGAAAUCCCGGAAGGAGAACCGGUCACAGCUGGUAUGUUCCAUGUCAACCAACAUCUUGCAGUUGUUUUGUUUGAUUCUAGAUCAUCGUAUUCAUUCAUGAGCCAAGCAUUUGCACAAAAGCAUAACCAACCAGUUACUGAGUUGGGUUAUGGUUAUCACAUCAGCUCAGCAGGGGCUGAUGUGUUGACUAACAAAACAGUAACAGGGGUUACCUUGGAUAUCAGUGGCCGAAGGUUUCGUGUAAACCUUGUGGUCAUGCCAGGGCUGGUUUUGGAUGUUAUCAUUGGAAUGAAUAAGAUGACCGACUGGGGUGCAAUUAUAAAUGCCGGAAAUAGAACUCUUUCCCUCAAGGACCCACAGGGGGAGGGUAUGCUUCAGGUUAAGCUACCCCGACGAUUGGACUUCACCAGUCUCUCAUGUGCAGUAUAGGUGGUUCCACUAGAACAGAUCCUAGUAGUCUUUGAGUUCCCUGAUGUCUUUCCUGAGGAAUUGCCGGGACUCCCCCAGAUAGGGAAGUAGAAUUUGCAAUCAAGUUGAUACCAGGUACCGCACCAAUAUCUAGAAGGCCGUAAUAGAUGCCACCUAAUGAGCUCGCUGAUUUGAAAAACCAACUAAAGGAGUUACUGGAUAAAGGGUUCAUCCGGCCAAGUUUGUCAGAAUGGGGUUGUCCGGCGUUGUUUGUGAAAAAGAAGGAUCAAUCGCUGCGCAUGUGCGUGGACUAUCGUCCACUCAAUGCGGUGACAAUCAAAAAUAAGUAUCCCUUGACAAGGAUUGAUAUCUUGUUUGAUCAGUUGUCCAAGGCCAGAGUGUUUUCCUGGUCCGGGUAUCACCAAAUCAAGAUCCGUCCGCAAGAUAUCCCGAAGACUGCUUUUUCCACCAGAUAUGGAUUGUAUGAGUAUCUUGUCAUGUCCUUUGGGUUGACAAAUGCUCCUGCAUACUUUAUGUAUCUGAUGAACUCCAUCUUUAUGCUAGAGUUAGGCAAGUCGUUGUGGUGUUCAUCGAUGACAUUCUGGUUUAUUCAGAGAAUGAGCAAGAUCACGCCGCGCACCUAAGAGUCGUGCUAAAACGACUACGAGAGCAUCAGUUGUAUGCAAAGUUCAGCAAGUGUGAGUUCUGGUUGAAGAAAGUUCCUUUCCUAGGGCAUAUUCUGUCUAAAGAAGGGAUUGCUGUGGAUCCGUCAAAGGUACAGGAAGUCAUGGACUAGAAGGCACGAACUUCUGUCUCGGAAGUUCGAAGCUUUCUUGGCCUAGCCGGGUAUUACCGUCGUUUCAUACCCGACUUUUCCAAGAUUGCUAAGCCAAUGACCAGUUUGCUACAAAAGGAUCAUAAGUUUGCCUAGACGGAAGGCUAUGAAUUUGCCUUCCGCACCUUGUGAAAGUUGCUAACCACCGCUCCCGUUUUAGCGCAACCCAAUAUCGAGAAGCCUUUUGAUGUGUUUUGCGACGCAUCGAAAAGUGGCUUAUGAUGUGUGCUGAUGCAAGACGGCAGAGUUAUAGCUUAUGCUUCACCACUGUUGAGAAAGCACGAAGUCAACUACCUGACUCAUGACCUCGAGCUAGCGGCAGCAGUGCACGCCUUAAAAAUCUAGAGGCACUAUUUGCUGGGAAUAAGUGUCAUAUCUACACCGAUCAUAAAAGUCUGAAGUACAUCUUCACUCAAUCUGAGCUGAAUAUGAGGCAACGAAGAUGGUUAGAGCUGAUCAAGGAUUACGACCUGGAAGUUCACUAUCAUCCAGGCAAGGCUAAUGUGGUCGCAGACGCAUUGAGUAGCAAACCGCACUAUCAAGUGGUUCAACCAUUGUUUGAGGAUGGUUUCAAUCUCAUGCAUCCUGAAGUCUUAUGUCACAUACAUCUUAGUUGUUCACUUGAGAGUCAGGUCAUUGAAGGUCAGAAAACAGACAAGGGUAUUUUCCACAUCAAAGAAAAGAUCAAAAUGACCUAAAGACUCAAUUCAAAGUUGAUGAAAAAGGGGUAUUGUGGUUUCAGCACCGGCUGGUAGUUUCGAAGAAUCGAGAAUUAAAGAAUCACAUCAUGGAUGAAGCACAUCUCUCCAAGCUCUCUAUUCAUCCUGAUAGCAGUAAGAUGUAUCAAGACCUAAGAUCUCACUUUUGGUGGACUAAGAUGAAGAAAGAGAUAGCAGCAUAUGUGGCCCGUUGUGACACAUGUUGCAGAGUCAAAGCUAUACAUAUGAAACCUGCGGGUCUAUUGCAACCGUUGUUAGUUCCAGAGUGGAAAUGGGAAGAAGUCAGCAUGGACUUUAUCACAGGUUUAUCGACAACACGAAAGGGGAAUGACUCGAUUUGGGUAAUCAUAGAUCGAUUGACCAAGUCGGCUCAUUUCAUUCCUGUUAAGACUCGUUAGAGACCUCCCGAGUAUGCUGAUUUGUAUCUUGCUGAGAUUGUUAAGUUGCAUGGUAUUCCCAAGACCAUCAUAUCGGACAGGGGACCGCAGUUCGCCGCUCAUUUUUGGGAGCGAAUGCAUAAGAGUUUGGGGACUAGUCUGAUAAGAAGCACAGCGUAUCAUCCCCAAACCUUGGGUCAAACGGAGAGACUCAAUCAAGUGCUAGAAGACAUGCUGAGGGCUUGUGUGUUAUCAUCGAAAGGAUCAUGGAAUCAUGGUUACCUUUGGCUAAGUUCUCGUACAAUAAUAGCUACCAAGAGAGUAUCAAGAUGGCUCCGUUCGGAGCGUUGUAUGGUCGUAAGUGUAGGACUCCAUUAAACUGGGUCGAACCUGGUGAAAGGAGAUACUAUGGCAUCGACUUUGUGAACGAGGUUGAGAAAAAGGUGCAAAUCAUACAACAACAUAUGAAGGCGGCACAAUCGCGACAAAAGAGUUAUGCUGAUAAGAGAAGAAGGCCACUUAAAUUCAUUGUAGGUGACUACGUUUACCUCAAGGUUACACCAAUGAAGAAGGUUCAACGUUUCCGAGUUCGAAACAAGCUUGCACCCAGAUAUGUGGGACCAUAUCAGAUACUAGAAAGGAAGGGCCCUGUAGCCUACAAGAUUCAGUUACCUGAAGAGUUGGGUUCAAUCUUUCCAGUCUUCCAUGUGUCGCAGUUGCGGAAAUGUUUAAAAGUGCCCGAGUAGAGGAUUGAACCCCGAGGAAUCAAAAUAAAGGCAGACUUAGAAUAUAAGGAGCAGCCAGUGGGUAUCGUAGAUACCAAGGAGCAGGUAACCCGGAACAGAGUUGUCAAAACAUAUAAGGUGGUAUGGAGUCAUCAUGAUGAUAGGGAUGCCACCUGGGAAACCGAGGAUUACCUAAAAACAGUUUAUCCAAAAUUUCAUAAGAAAUGGUUAGUUACCCAAAAUCUCGGGACGAGAUUUCCCUAAGGGGGGAAGGGCUGUAACACACUAGUUGUUAAGCAUGCACUUACUCUCAUAAACUCAUCCAUAAGCAUUCUCAUCAAGCAUAGCAUUGCAUGAACAUGUCCUUCCUUCAAUUGUGAUUUUAUGUGCUUUGUUUUAUGUGAAUUAAAUAUGGUAAAAAUAUUAUACUUGCUUCUAAAUUCUUGAAUUACCCAAAUUAAGUUGAAAUAAGUAUUAGAAGAUUUAAGAGUAAGUUUUUGAAAUUUUUGGAGCUAUAGAAUCUGAGAAAUGGAAUUUAUACAAAAAUCCCUAAAAUGAAUUUAUUAAAAACCUAGAACUAGUUUUAAUUUGUGAUGGAAUUUGACUUCACCUAUUAAAGCAAAGUUGUAGGGAGUUUUAUGGGGAGCAAUUCUUCUUUUUACUCCAACCCCUAAAAAGUUUUGUAAAAGCUUCAAAAGUCUUAUUUAAACUUUUUGGAGAAAAGAAAUUCAAAAAAAAAGAAAAGGGGACAGGCGCUGCUGGGCCGACUCGCCUCCUUUUCGGCCCAGCCACGCAGUGCAGCCCGCUUUCCCCUCCCCUCUCUCCCGUGCGCAACGCCCACCUUCGUCCACCCGACGCCGGCCACGUGGCGGCCGUACGUCGGCGUCGUGGACGCGCCGCGGCCGACCGGCCUUAACCUGGUCGGGACGCCGCCCCGCACCCCCAGGCUCCACUUUGUCGCCCCGCUCCUCUCUCCUCUUCGUCCUCCGCUCGCAAGCGCCGUAGCUGUAGCAGUUCUGCCACAGCGCCAUCGCCUGAGAGCACCGCCGCUCACCGCCGGCCACGCCAGUGCCCCAAUCUCUGAGCCAAGUUCACCGCUACACUCGUCUUCGCCGCGGUAAGCUUCUGCGCACGCUCUACCGAAGUGAGAGACCGCUGCACGCCGUGAAUCGCUCGUCGGAGUUUGCCCGACCUCGUCGGAGUGCUCCGCCGCGUUGAACUUCGCACGUUUCUGCCUCGUUUCGUUUGCUUUUUGGCGCGUUAGGUCCGUAGCUCGACGAGGAAGCCCCGAUGGCACCCUGCGCGGGCUCUACCGCACUGGAGUGGCCUGGCCACCGCGAGCAGUGCCGCCGUGCCGCCAUGCAUGCUCGCGAGGGUGCUCCAUUCGUCUUCCAGCCGAUCCAAGGGCACCCUUGGAUGCGCCUCGCUGCGGGGAGCACGAUGGUGCUCACCCCGUGGCCGGGGAGCUCACCGCCGACGAGAUCCGCUCGUCGGAGGUGCCCUCCCUCGCGGUCGCACUGACCAGUGGGGUCGGAGGCCCACUGUCAGUCGCAGGGGGACCGAGGUGGGUAGAGAUCUGGGUGUCUUUAGUGUUUUUCAUCCCGAUUUCGAAUUGGUUUUCAGAAAAUAAUUUCCAGAAAUUGAUUUAAAUGAUGUAAAAUCCAUAUCUUGAGUUAUAUGGCUCCAAAAUUGGUGAAAUAAAUUUUAAUGUGUUCUAAAAUCUCAGAUCUAUAGUUUGGUGUGCUUGCAUGUCAUGUUUGAGCAACUUUUCUGUGCAAAUAUAUUUAAUCCAUGUUUUUGCUGAAAAUUGGAAAAUGCAUAGAAAUUAAAAUAUAGCUUAGAAAAAUAUGAAACUUGCUUUGUUGGCUCUGCAUGGAUGUUUAGGCUCUGGGAAAAAUAUGUUACAUAUUAUUUGCUGUAUGAAUUAAUUUAUGGUGAUUUAAAUGCUUGCAUGGCAGUGGUUUAUGAUUUUUAAUAAAUAAUUGGGUCAUGCAAUUAAUCUAGAAACUUUUGUGGGUGUUUCUCAUGUUAAUAAGUAAAUUAUAAAAAAUAUGAAAACUGUUGUUUGACACUUACACAACCGUAGGGUAAUUAUACUUAUCUAUAUGGAUUAAUCUUGUAAUUUUUGUAGCCCAAAAUAAGUGUCCAAAUAUUAUGAGACAUUUAUAGUAGCCUUUAUGGUUAGCUAGUGAUUCACUGUAAUUUUUGUGGAAUUUAUUGUUAAACAGAAAUAUAUGCUACUUUUGUAGGUCCAAAAGUGAUUAAAUAAAAUAAGAAUUAUUGUGCAUUAAUUAAAUAGAAUAAAAGAUUGUUUGGUGUAUCCUUGAAGCAUCUUGUGAGCUUGCUGGUUAAACAUGAGGACCACUUGUAGAAGAGAAUGUAAUAGAUGUAUAGUUCGAUUACAAGUUCUUGGAUGAUGUUGACUACCUUGUAGAAAUAACCACCUAUAUCAUCUAUGCACCAUGUCAUAGUCAUCUGUUACCCACUUGCAUGAGCAUUGCACCCAGGGCAUCUCGCACUACACUCAUGAGCACACCUGCAUCAUACAGGCUCGCAGGAGAACGAGGUGGAACCCGAGGAGCAGGAGGAAGCCCAAGAGCAGGAACCUCUAGGAGGACCGGAGCCCGGACAAGAGCUGCAGGAGUGCCCGGAUCACAAGCCGAGCACGUUUGAGAAUGGCAAGCCCCGGAGCAUUCUAAGUCUCCCUAUUCUCGCUAACAUAAGUGAUAUAUUAUGCUUGUUCUACUAUGUUGCAUUUAAGUGAUAGGAAUUGCUUGAUAACGUUGAUGCAUAUGUACUCCUUGAUAUCACCACUUGUUUAUCUACCUUGUCCUAUGUAGAUAGGCACGGAGUCUAUGCUUAGCUUGCUUAGUCCGGUAAAAUUCGGGUGAUUUCCUGUCACCUGUGAGAUAUAGGCGGAUACCUGCUUGAUUAGUGGUGAUUGCUUUGGGAAAGGAUAACCAAGGGUGGAAAGGAAUUUGAGACCGGGCAGGGUCUUAUGGUGGGUUGACCGUACUGCCCCUGCCAAUGCCGAUUAAGGACCGAUCGUUGACGGCCCUCUUGUCAUGUGGAACGCAUGCCCCACACUUAGCUGGAAGGAUAAGUCGUUCCGACCGCGAAGCCUGAGCACUAUCCGGGCCGGUAGUUGGCCAGAUGUACGUGUUGUAUUGGUGAUGGUUGAGGAGAACGACGAGGGCGCGGCGCGCAACCCUGGUAUACCUUGGAUACCUCGGUCGUCGGAACGGUCCUCGGGUACGGGCGGAGCCUGUCGAACCCGCGAAUUGGUCCUGGAUAGUGUUGACACCAGAAGUGGCAAACGGUUAUACCGCAAGCGUACGGUAGUCAAUGUAGCCUUCACCGGGAGUAUUCCAGGUAUCAUGAUUUCCACGGGGAACGCGAAGUGAAUUAACUAGGCUUUAGAUCGUUAGGUGAUGAUCAAAGGGUCUAGGAUAAUGGGGUAGAGAGGUCUAACUAGUAUUAAUGCCUGGUCUUGGUAAUUAAGUAUAGUCAAGGUUUUUCACCUAACUCUUUACUGAGGGCGAUACCCGAAAAGGAGGAUUGAGUUAACGAAGUUUUUCACCUCCUCGUCUCCUAAGCGACUACCCUGCUCAGCCCAACUAUUAUUUGCAACUUGCCUACAACAGAUGCGAGGAACUUUCCGCCUAGCGAGGACUGUCACUCUCACACUAGGUGUCUACACAACUGCGACAAGGAGUCCACACUGGCAAGAAGUAGUCUAGACACCACGUCUAAACUAGCUCUUGCUACCCUAAGCUUAGCUAAAGCUAAGAGCACUCAAGAUCAAGCAAUGUGCCAGUAAAGGAUUCUUAUACUUAAAGUACCAGACCAAAUAUUAAAUACUAGAAAAGACUCAGAAGUAAGACUUACAAGAAGACCUGCUUCCGCUGAGGUGCUCCGCGAAGAAGACUCCCGACAGGCCGGGACUCCUCCUUGGAACUCCUCACUCUCUACUCACUAUGAUAGCACUAAGCUACUAAAGUAGUUUACUCCUAAGAUACAUGACUCUUAAGUGAAGGAAUAGGGGGGUAUUUAUAGUGGGAGAUGGAGUAGGGGCUACUCCGGUGCCACGUCAGCGAUCCGCGUCAUCUUCAUCAUGCACCAUUGGAUCAAACCGACUUCACAACCGCCAUCUGAUCAACAGUAGAGGCAAACUAACAUGUGCAACAUGUGGGCAAGGUCGGUGGGAGGCCAACCGACCCUGGAACCGCCAUGAAGUGGGGUCGGCCGACCCCCUAUCUGGCUGGUUGGGCCCACCUGCAGUGUCCUGGAGGCUCUCUGAUGUCGGUGGAGUUGAGCUGACCUGUGGGACCCACCAAAGUGGGGUCGCCUGACCCCAAUUCUAUGGGGUUAGGGUGUCAGCCCUGUCCUACAUGUCUUCCUCUUCAUGACUAUAAUGUUGUCUUGGUUACUGGUGUCACUGAUCUUUAGUUAUUCACCCCUUCUUAGUGUUUGGACCCUUGAAAAGUACCUGUUCUUACUCCUGCAACCAAAUAGUAGCAUGUACAUGUGGAACUAGGUUAUAUGUACCUAUAUUACUACUUUGUUUGGUUGUUUUCUCCCAAAAUGAGUCUUAUGUUGACGGUUAUGAUAGUAGAAAACAUGGUAUAAAUACCGUCAACAAGACCCCCCACACUUGAGUCUUUGCUUGUCCUCGAGUAAAGGUUAAAAAUGAGUGAUCAAUGGUUUCUAACUUAAGAUAGUAGUGAGCAUAAAAUGCUAGUUCGAACAUAGUUCAUCCAAAUGGGUUUUUGUGUAAGUGUCUAGCAUAUAUCCUUCAGAGGUUGAGAAAAGGAACAACUCUCAGAACAAGAUCAAAUUCCAAUUUCAUAUUCUUGGUACUUAGAGUUUUUAUGACACUUUUUAAAAUAAGUCACAUAGUUCAAUCCUACUCCUCAUUUAGCGCUCUAGAUCACUCAAAGUUUUUUUUAGUAGUCCUCACCAAGGCAUGAAUGCCAACUUGUUUCAUCCUAUAACUAUAGGCUUAUAUGGGGCUUGGUAGGGAUAAACAAGGUAGCAUACUCUACUUUGCAAAUAUUGUUAAGUCAAAAACAAGGAUCCAAAGAGAGGAGUGUCAUAGUCAUAGAUCAAGAUGUGCAAGUGUGUUAUAUGGUGGACUAGGUUGCUCCUUUAUUUGCUACACUCUCUCUACUUGUAUAUUGAGACAUGGCUAGAUUUUCUUUUUCUUCGAGCUUUAUGUGCUCAAUUUUUUUUUUGCCAAGCCUUUUAUGUCUUAUUUUCUAAACAAUAUUUAGAGAGGUGUUCUAACACUUAGAGUAUGGAGCAACCUAUUUAGUGGAUGCACAAUACAUGUGGUUGCGUACUUCCAGUGUAGAAGCAGCAUAUAUAUAUGUGGUGUGUACGUGAUCUUGAUCUUGUGACUAUGAUACAACUCUCACUAGGGUCAACAAGGUUUUGACAAAACUCAUUACAAAAGCAGGUUGCAUUUCAUAAAAUGGUUACUUGAAUAUCUAAGUGUAUGGCUUUUGGUGGGAAUUUCUUGCUAAUGAGGAGUAAAUGAUACUAUGGUUUUGUGAUAUUUUUGAAACAAAUCUCUAAGUACCUUGAAUAGAAAUGUUAUGAAUUCUUAGCCAAGAGUUAUAUCACUUUCAUCAACAACUUAGUCAAUAUGGUUCCUAUAGAUUUUUACCCAUGAGGAUGAACAAUUGUAAGAACUAUACUUUAUGUCACAAUUUCUCUUAAAUCAUGAACCAGUUCACUUUUUAUUUUGCAAACAAGUUUAAACUAUCAAAUUUUAUUUUAAUUGUGACACAAAGGUAAAGAAUUGGACAGACUGAGAGGGGGAAGAGUUAGCAAACCGGGCAGGAAAGAUGUGUUUCGUCGUAUAGAAGCUUCCUGGUGGGCCCAGGGCUCUAUGGAGGGGUCGGCCGACCCCACCUGGAGGUUCCUGGCCCUGCCACUCGAUUCUACGUCCCUCGGGAAGUCUUUCUGCACUUGUGUCGUUUCCUUUUGCCAUAGAAAGGGGGUCGGGCGACCCCCUCCUCGCGCCUGUUUUUGGUGCCAUGACGUGCCAAGGUGUAUGCAGUGUUGUUCCAUGCUCACAGCAGUUUAGAGAUGAAGUUGGGGGGUCGGGCGACCCCCCCACACUUGCAGUUUUUGUGCAGCUGAACUUAAAACAGAGAGAGACGAUCAAAUGCAGAUGUCCUGCUGGUGGCAACACACCAGCAGGACCAAAAACGACUCCAUUAAAUCAAAUUUCAAUUGUAUAGGCACUUUUACAUUGCGAAAUUCAAAGUGACAAAUUGAAAAAUAAAAUUGAGUAAUCAAACCUAAAUAAUCAAAUAGUGCCUAUAACCUAAACUAACUAAUUUAUUUAGGGAGAUGGAGGUUUGAGGAGAUCCUCCCGCCCAAUUGCUUGCGCCAAACGCUUGAUUUUAGCGCUGGUGCUAAUGCGCAGGUGGCGGAAGUGAUCUUCUAACUCAAGAUUCUCCAUCCUGAGCUCCGACACUGUCUCCUCUAAGAUCCUAUUUUUCUUUCUAAGGCUAGCUGUGACUUCUAGGAGCUUCUCGAUGUCGCCUUUCUCUGGAUCUUCUUCGUAUUUGCCAGGCGCACCGUUGAUCGGAGGUGGAUCCAUCUUCCGCCGGAUGGAUGGACUUGCUGACGAGUCAAAGGACUCCCGCAACUCCAUCUUUCCCUUAGAGUUCAGCGGCGGGAUCAGCACCUUCCCCUUUCCCGGCCCACUGCCCACCACUUGGUGGUUCCUCCAAAAGGUUGGGGUGGACGGCGAGUAGGAAGAGGUGUGGAUCGUGUCGGAGGAGAUGGUGAUGGCCUGCUUGGUGGCCAUCGGCGCCUUCUCCCGCAGCGCAAGUUGGCCCGUGGUAGGUCGAACCGGCGUUACGGCUCGAGUAGGGGACUUGCCGAUGCCCCUGCGCGGUGUGAGCGAACGAGAGGCCGACGCGGAGCGCUGCGUCACCCGGGGCGAGGUCGGGCGACCCCUCUUGGGGUCGGGCGACCCCCACAUGGGGCCCGUCGGCCCUCCAGCCGGCGGCACCAUGGCUAGUGGUUCAGGCUCCAGCACGUUGACGUCUAGGGCAAGCUCUAGGCUCUCAGUUAGAGACCUUUGCGGACGUGGGGAGUUGGAGCGAAUGGCUUGGUUGGAAGAUUUAGUUGGAGGAGCCAUGGAGAUGGAUCUCUUGGCAAGGAAUGGAGGCUAGGAGAGUCUGGUUCGAGGUGAAGAUGAGAAGGAAUGAAUUGAGAGGAGGAAGAAGAAGAAGAGGGGGGAUAAAUAGAUGUGUUCGGAGCCUGAAAGUUUGAGUUUUGAAAAGAAGCGUCGUGGAACGUUUGAGGGACGAUCCGAGACUCCAGGGGAUUUCAAAACUCAAAAUAUUGGGGGUCGGGCGACCCCUAUAUUUCAGGAUUUUGAAUUUUGAAUUUCAGCGCCGAACUCUAUUCAUUCCCCUCUUUCUAAACCUAUCCCCCCUUGGGCCAAAACCCCUAGAAGAGGGGUCGGCCGACCCCCAUUUGGGGUGUUCGGCGGCCCAACUUUGAUCCUACGUCAUCUAAAACCCUUUACAAACCUAUUUCAAAACAAAAAGGAACUAAAUAUAUUGAUUUAGCAAUUAUUUAAACAAAAAGGGGGUAAAAAGAAGGAGAUGUGGAUUUUAAGACUUUGUGUCAGAUUCAAAUUCUAUCAUAUCAACUUCUUCUUCUAAAGGUUCAUGUUCAUGGAAAACUUUAAGACGAUGACCAUUUACCUUAAAGGUGUUGCCGUCGUCGUCCCGCAGCGUUACCGCUCCAUGAGUCGCGGCGUCAACAACGAAGAAUGGUCCUUCCCAUUUGCUCCUUAGCUUUCCAUGGCCAAAUAACUUGACCCUUGAGUUGAACAUGAGAACCUUAUCCCCAGGAUGAAAUUCCUUUUGCUUGAUCCUUUUAUCAUGCCAUCUUUUUGUUCUCUCUUUGUAGAUCCUAGCAUUGUGAUAGGCUUUAUCUCUCCAUUCUUCUAGUUCGGAGAUUUGGAGCUUUCUAUUUCUUCCGGCCGAGGGCAAAUCCAUGUUCCAUUUCUUGAUUGCCCAGUGAGCUCUAUGCUCUAGCUCUACCGGUAGAUGGCAUGUCUUACCGUAUACAAGUUGGUAUGGUGUCAUACCAAUUGGGGUCUUGUAUGCGGUCCUAUAUGCCCAAAGUGCAUCUGGUAGAUGGCUUUUCCAGCCGGUUCCCAUCUUAGUGACAGUCUUCUGCAGAAUGUUCUUGAUUUGUUUGUUAGAUGUUUCUUCUUGUCCGCUCGUUUGAGGGUGAUAGGGUGUUCCAAUGUUGUGCCUUAUCCCCACUUCAGCUAAGAACCGUCGGAAUCUUCUGUCAAUGAAGUGGCUCCCUCCAUCACUGAUAACUAGUCUGGGGGUGCCGAAGCGUGGAAAUAUGACUUCCUUGAACAUCUUUAUCGAAUGUGUAGAGUCGGCUGCUCUGCAGGGCAUUGCUUCGACCCACUUGGACACAUAGUCUACUGCCACUAGGAUGUACUCACACCCUUGUGACAAAGGGAAUGGCCCCAUGUAGUCUAUGCCCCAAGCAUCGAAUAUCUCGACUUGUAAGUUGUUUGUGAGUGGCAUUGCAUCACGAGUAUUGAUGUUCCCAUGCUUCUGACACCUUGCACAUCUCCUCACGAAGUUCUUUGUAUCUUCGUACAUGGUAGGCCAGUAGAAUCCACUCUGCCAUAUCUUGGCAUGGGUCCUGAAUGCUCCAUAGUGGCCUCCGUACUCUGCCCCAUGGCAUUUUUCCAUUAUUUUUACUGCUUCGUCCAUGGGAACACAUCUCCUGAGUAUGCCAUCUUGACAGACUCUGUAGAGAUAAGGAUCGUCCCAUAGGUGCACCCUACUCUCUUUAACAAGCUUCUUCUUGUCUACCCCAGAUGGUAUGUAUCCGGACGCCAGGUAGUUGACUAUGUUUGCAUACCAUGGGUAGGCUUCUGAAACUCGGAGGAGUGUGUCGUCUCGAAGGUAGUCGUUGAUAGGUGGAUCCUGUUUAUCCUCGAUUUGCAUCCUAGACAAGUGAUCGGCUACCGAGUUUUCUACUCCCUUUUUAUCUCUAAUUUCUAAGUCAAAUUCUUGGAGUAGUAGGAUCCAUCUUAUUAAUCUUGGUUUAGCAUCUUUUUUAGUGAGCAAGUAUUUUAGAGCUGCGUGAUCGGAGUAAACAAUCACCUUUGCUCCAACUAAAUAAGAUCUAAACUUGUCUAUAGCAAACACUACAGCCAACAGUUCUUUUUCAGUUGUUGCAUAAUUCAGCUGUGGUCCUGUUAGUGUUUUGCUAGCAUAAGAUAUUGCGUGAUGCUUCUUAUCUUUAGUCUGUCCUAAGACAGCACCUACAGCGUAAUCACUAGCAUCACACAUUAUCUCAAAAGGUAGCGACCAAUCAGGGGGUUGAAUGAUUGGUGCAGAGAUAAGUGCUUUCUUAAGAUAGUAAAAGGAAUCCAAGCACUCAUCAUUAAAAUCAAAGGGUGCAUCCUUAGCUAACAGGUUUGUUAAAGGUCUAGCAAUUUGAGAGAAAUCUUGUAUGAACCUUCUAUAAAAGCCUGCAUGGCCAAGAAAGCUACGGACGCCCCUAACAUUUGUGGGAGGAGGGAGCUGUUCUAUAACUUCAAUUUUAGCUCUAUCUACCUCUAUCCCACGUUCGGACACUCUAUGUCCUAACACUAUCCCUUCUCGAACCAUAAAAUGGCACUUUUCCCAGUUCAAGAUCAAGUGCUUCUCUUGGCACCUUUGUAAGACUCGGUCCAGGUUCUUUAGGCAAUCAUCAAAAGUUUUCCCAUAGACGGAGAAGUCGUCCAUGAAAACUUCCAUGAUUUCCUCGAUCAUAUCGGAGAAGAUGGACAUCAUGCACCUUUGAAAAGAGGCAGGAGCAUUGCAUAGGCCAAAAGACAUGCGCCUAUAUGCAUAUGUUCCGUAGGGGCAUGUGAAUGUAGUCUUACUUUGGUCGUCGGGAUGGAUUGGGAUUUGAUGGUAACCCGAAUACCCAUCAAGGAAGCAGAAGAAAGAGUGUUUGGCUAACCGUUCCAGCAUCUCAUCGAUGAAUGGCAACGGAAAGUGGUCUUUCUUAGUGGCCUUGUUAAGUUUUCGGUAGUCUAUGCACAUUCUCCAUCCCGUGACAGUCCGUUGAGGAAUGAGUUCAUUGUUGUCAUUUUUUAACGACCGUCAUUCCUCCUUUCUUAGGAACUACUUGAACGGGGCUGACCCAUUCACUGUUCGGAACAGGGUAGAUUAUGCCCGCAUGCAAUAGUUUUAAGACCUCUUUCUUCACAACUUCUCUCAUCGCAUUAUUUAGCCUUCUCUGAGGCUCCCUGGAAGGUAUAGCAUCGGGUUCGAUAGGGAUGCGAUGAGUGCAGAGUGCAGAACUAAUUCCCUUAAGGUCUUCUAACGAGUAUCCUAAGACAGAGCGGCGUUCUUCUAAGACGAUGAUGAGUUUGGUGACUUCUUCUUCUGUCAGUUGAUCACUAAUGAUUACCGGAGUCUCUCUAUCACCAUUAAGGAAGGCGUACUUAAGUCCAGAGGGAAGUGGCUUAAGUUCUAUAGAGGGUUUUGGUGGUGGUUUAGAUUCAUCCAAGUCUAAUGGUUCUUCUAAUUUGUUCUCUUCUUCUUGGAUGAAGUUUUCGGCGUCUUCUUCUAAGUCAGGCUGAGAAGCGUCCAGAAGAGAUGCAGACAUCACCUCCUUUAUUGGGUCAGGCUCGGGCGGGGUCUCGGCUUUAGAAUUAAUAGAGCCGGCAAAAGGCAUAGAAAGGUCUAAGCCCUUCCCGAGGUUACCCUUGAGACGCCCUUCAUGAAAUCCAUUUAGGAACCUCAUGAUGGGGUGCCCGAUUAACAAGUCAACUUCUUUCAUAUCAAAGAUAAAGAAGUUUAGCAGAAUGUUGACUUUGUUAAUGGAGACAGGAAUAUUCUGCGCAAUCCCACAACUCUCGACCAUUUCCCCAGAGGGUAAUUUAAGAAAUUUGCUGGUCGGGGUUAAUGGUUCCUCGCCUAGGAGUGUCAGUACUAAUGAUUUGGACAUUAGGCUUACUCCUACAGCAGGGUCAUAAAGGGAUUCUAUAGGAGUGGAGUUUAUGACACAGGGAAUGGGUGCAAAACUCGAGAGAAGUUUGAUGACAUCAGAUGAUGUCUCAGCUUCUCUAACCCAUUCAUUACUCAUAAUAGCCGUGAGUUCUUGGGCAGUUGCCCUGAGGUAACCAGCCUCAAGAUGAGCUGGGAUAUGGCUAUUCGGAGCUCUGCGUGCUGUAGAUCUCCUUUGCACAGGUUGAUUCGAGACAUUGCCAAAAUCGGCAAAUAGAUCAGUCUCGAUGUUAAGUGGGUAAUCCAAGGGAUGAAUUACUUCUUCCCUUGGAGGUGCUUGUGGUAUUGGUUCAGGUUCGACAGCUUGGGUUGCGGCUAAAGGAGUUUUGGCUGUCGAAGGUUCAUCCCUAGGAGUUCGAUCUUCCUCAGGAGCUUCAAUAUGAUCAUCAGUGUAAGGGGUAUUCUCGAGAAUAGUCCCAAGAAUGGCCUUACCUUCACUGAUAGGUAAAUGAAGGAAUGCUCCUUGGAGGCUAAAUCAAGGAAUUGUGCGGAUUGUUGGCUAAGUCCGAGGUAAAAAUGUUGCAUAAGAAUUGGCUCAGUUAUACCUAAGUCUGGGCCAGAUGAUGUUAAGUCGGUGAGACGCGCCCAGGCCGCACCUAGAGACUCCUUCCCUUCUUGCUUGAAGUCUAGGACUUCUCUACGGAGACGAGCUAUUCUAGAGAUGGGAAAGUAGGUGAGGCAAAAUUUGGCUUGCAGCUUUUCCCAUUCUCCUCCUACACUACCUACAUAGCGAGUGUACCACCGUCUGGCCUUUCCCGUCAAAGAGAACGGAAAGAGCUUCCACUUGAGGGUAACUCGCCUAAUCCCUUGGAUGUGGAUGCAUGAACAAAGUUGUUCGAAAUCUCGUAGGUGUGUGUAAGGAUUUUCAUCUCCUUCUCCCGAAAAGGGAUUCUCCUGAACCAUCGCUAUGAGACUCGGGCGAAGCUCAUAGUGACAGGCCAAAAUGGCUUUUGAUGAACUCGCUGGCUCCAACUCAGCGCCCGUUGGAGCAGCGUAAUCGAAGAGGGUUGUUUGAUCCAUUUGGAUAUGUGUAUAAAGUUUUAAAUCAAACAAAGAUAACUUAACGAUUUUUUUUUGUCCUAGUUAAAACAGCUACCGUUCCCCGGCAACGGCACCAGAAAGCUUGUUGACACCAGAAGUGGCAAACGGUUAUACCGCAAGCGUACGGUAGUCAAUGUAGCCUUCACCGGGAGUAUUCCAGGUAUCGUGAUUUCCACGGGGAACGCGAAGUGAAUUAACUAGGCUUUAGAUCGUUAGGUGAUGAUCAAAGGGUCUAGGAUAAUGGGGUAGAGAGGUCUAACUAGUAUUAAUGCCUGGUCUUGGUAAUUAAGUAUAGUCAAGGUUUUUCACCUAACUCUUUACUGAGGGCGAUACCCGAAAAGGAGGAUUGAGUUAACGAAGUUUUUCACCUCCUCGUCUCCUAAGCGACUACCCUGCUCAGCCCAACUAUUAUUUGCAACUUGCCUACAACAGAUGCGAGGAACUUUCCGCCUAGCGAGGACUGUCACUCUCACACUAGGUGUCUACACAACUGCGACAAGGAGUCCACACUGGCAAGAAGUAGUCUAGACACCACGUCUAAACUAGCUCUUGCUACCCUAAGCUUAGCUAAAGCUAAGAGCACUCAAGAUCAAGCAAUGUGCCAGUAAAGGAUUCUUAUACUUAAAGUACCAGACCAAAUAUUAAAUACUAGAAAAGACUCAGAAGUAAGACUUACAAGAAGACCUGCUUCCGCUGAGGUGCUCCGCGAAGAAGACUCCCGACAGGCCGGGACUCCUCCUUGGAACUCCUCACUCUCUACUCACUAUGAUAGCACUAAGCUACUAAAGUAGUUUACUCCUAAGAUACAUGACUCUUAAGUGAAGGAAUAGGGGGGUAUUUAUAGUGGGAGAUGGAGUAGGGGCUACUCCGGUGCCACGUCAGCGAUCCGCGUCAUCUUCAUCAUGCACCAUUGGAUCAAACCGACUUCACAACCGCCAUCUGAUCAACGGUAGAGGCAAACUAACAUGUGCAACAUGUGGGCAAGGUCGGUGGGAGGCCAACCGACCCUGGAACCGCCAUGAAGUGGGGUCGGCCGACCCCCUAUCUGGCUGGUUGGGCCCACCUGCAGUGUCCUGGAGGCUCUCUGAUGUCGGUGGAGUUGAGCUGACCUGUGGGACCCACCAAAGUGGGGUCGCCCGACCCCAAUUCUAUGGGGUUAGGGUGUCAGCCCUGUCCUACAUGUCUUCCUCUUCAUGACUAUAAUGUUGUCUUGGUUACUGGUGUCACUGAUCUUUAGUUAUUCACCCCUUCUUAGUGUUUGGACCCUUGAAAAGUACCUGUUCUUACUCCUGCAACCAAAUAGUAGCAUGUACAUGUGGAACUAGGUUAUAUGUACCUAUAUUACUACUUUGUUUGGUUGUUUUCUCCCAAAAUGAGUCUUAUGUUGACGGUUAUGAUAGUAGAAAACAUGGUAUAAAUACCGUCAACAGAUAGUGCAACACGGUGAUCUGUUGCUCACUUGAUCAGUGAGUGUGGUUUGUGUGGGGAAUAAACUCGUAGCUAGUCAGAAAUUGAUUCGAAUCGCCAUCACUCCUGGAUAGUGAGCACUUGACAUGAGCCCUGUCCUCGUAGUAAGGACUAUGGAACACUUGGGUUAUGAUGAGAAAUGAUUUAUGAAUGCUAGAUGAGGUACCAUCAUAUCACUGUAUUUGUUUGCAAUAGUACAGGUGCAAACCUAGAAAAUAGGUAAUGAUAAUAUCGAACUUGAGCUAAUUAAAAGAAGAAAGGUUUUCUUUAGGCUAUGUUUAGUGGAACAGUGGUUUUAUGCAAAAAGUCUCAGCUACCCCACCAUAUAGCCUUCAUGAUCCUUGAAGAGUCUUUAUUUUUGGUUUAUGACGGGUAAGUCUAGCUGAGUACAUUCUCGAGCUUAGGGUUCUAUUCCCAUGUUGUUUUGCAGAUGGUCAAAUGUACUAUGGUUACUGCAUCCUCUGCUUGUACCCAACAAUGGGCGAUGACUAGUCCAAGGGCGAUGGUCACUCUAUCUUCUCUUUUGCUUUUGUGGGGAUGACCAAACGAUGGCAUUGUAUCAAACUAUAUGUGUGUAAGUUACUUUCAAACUAUGAAGCUUCCGCUACUAAGAACUUGGUUUGUAAUAAUUUUAAGAACUCCGAUGUAUUUUAUGAAUGUUGCGAACUGGAUGUAAUUGUGAAUGGUGAUCGCUAAACUUAUUACGAUCUUGGCUAUAUGUACGAUAUGUGGUUUGAAAUCCUUUGAGAUUUCACGGACUACCGGGAUUAUAUGGGCUUAAGCUUGAGGGUUUGACUGUGCAAAUGGUCACUAUUAGGCUUAAUCUCCUAUAAUUUGGGCGGUUCUGUUACAGAGACGAUCCAUGGAAGGAGACAAAGUACAUAAACAAGAUACACAGCCACUAUGAAUGGGAAGCUUCCAUAAUGUGAGAUGGUACCAUCACUCUUCAAUUAAGGUAACAUCAUAAGAUAUGUGACUAUCACUUUUAUGAGCUUCUCCUUGGUUCUGGUGUUCAUAGAAAUAAAGAGACAAACAUGUAUGAUUUAUAACUCCAAAUUAACCAACCCAACUGAUUCAACAUGUUUAGUCCUUUAAUCUUUGUUCCUAGUACUACCUCCAUGAUCCCACACUCCCAAUUAUAUGAGCUAAAAUGUUGCACAUUCAAUCUUUGGGAAGAUAUAAAGACAUAUACAUAGAUAGAUUAUCUUUCCAUAAGGUUGAGCAAUCUGAUCUGACAAAUGUUUUAAAUGCUACAGUCAUGAACUUAUCACCCAUCAACUUUGUCUUGCUCCCUAUGAUUAAGGAUAGAGAAGAAUAAAUACACUUUUGGUUCUGUUGGUGUUUUCCACCAACAGGGCCCAUGCACUUGAUCUCUGCCUUGUCUCUAUGAGCAGGACACAUUUUGAGAAACAUGGAGGAUUUUUCAACUCCCAGACUCUACCAUGUGAAGGACGUUGAUCUACGAGCACAAACACAAUGAGCCAGAUACUGCCAACGCCGCACUUCGAACUACUGGGCAAACGAAAGACAUGGGUGACACUGUAUCAAGGGCUGCAGAUGUCAAGGUCCACACCUGAAUCAAAUGACGCACUUGAAGAAUGAACACUGUGAGAAGUCUUGUUCAGAAGACAUAAAACAUUGAACCCUUGCCGAAAGGUAAAAUCGGUAGUUAUCCAUAUUUAUCCUUUCUGCAUUCCCUUUUUCCUCAAAACUAUUUACUUUUCUUAAAUAGCUUGUUAGUUAAUCAUGCUAUCUUGAAAAGAAAUAAAAAUGUUAAAAACAGUAACCCACUUGUGAGUAUGCUCAUGGCAUAAAACCCAUAAGUACAUUCACUGUGGUGGCGAUAAAAAUAUUCCUGUCCUAUAAAAAUGAAAAUAUAAAAAUAAAUUUAUGAUCCUACCAAAGAAAGUAACAAUUAUUAAAGAGGCUCAACAUGAUAAAGGCUAGAUAUUUAUGCUAACACUUAACUAGUUUCACAAAGCUUUGUUGUCUAUUUGUGCUCCACAAAAUUCAAGGAUCAAAGAAGACUAGCAGACGGAGGACAUCCUAAUCGCUGUCAGGGUGCUGCCGACAUUCAAAUACACCUCCCCCACCUGCUAGCUACAUCAGAAGAAAUUACGUCAAAAUCCAGCUUUGGGGAGAGCACCCCCAUUUAUCCAGCUAUGUGUUUAUAUUCGCGUUUAUACUUUACUCAAAUAAUAAAAAGAUGCAUAAUCAUAAAAACCCAAAUAAAGAUUUUAUGCUUAUAUAUAUAUAUAUCUUUGCUUAGUUUGCUAAAUAAAUAAAUAAAGUUUGCUAUAACCCUCAUGAUAAGCUCUCACAUGAAAAUGAUGAAUAGUUGCUCUGCCAUGACUAGUUCUCAAAAUUGAAUUCUCUCUCAAGUUUAGGCAUGACUGUUAUGAAUUAAGAUUUGCUCUAAAACUGAACUUGUGGGAAGAGUACUUGAUCUAAAGUCUAAAUCGUUAACAGAUAUGAUAUGGGAAGGUUGAGCUGCUAUUUAUCUGUUCCUAGAGAUGCUAGAAUUCUAGAGAAUUUUAUCUUUGAAAAUCAUUAAAAUGUUGUAUGAUGAGUUCCUGUAUGAUGAGAGUUUAAAAUCCUACCACAGCCACAUAUACAUGCUUAUUAGACUAUGAACCAUAUAUUUACUUUUUACUACUUAUGAGCAUUGAGUGUGGUCAAGCUGUGUAGACCCUUAGGAGCUUGUCGUGCGGUUAAAAUCAAGAUUCACUUGCACGUUCACUCAUACAUGUUGCUUCUACUCCGGAAGUACGCAUCCACAUACAUCCACUCAUUUCCAUCUUCAGAUUUACCCAAAAUUAUUCUACUCCUAUCUAGGAGAGAAUAACCAAAAACAUUAUCCUAUCCCUGUUAUUCCUCGUGAAAUAAAUGCUCGAGAUAUUUUGGUUACUACCACUUGCUACAUUAUUCUAGGAGGGUGAGUGCUCUGAAAAAAGUGAAAACGAGGAAAUAAAAAGGGGCAAGUGCCCAGAACCUUGAAGAAAAGAAAAAAGUGAGACAAGAGGUAAAAAUAGAACAGUGUGUGAUAGUAGAAUUAGGGGUACAAGAUAAACACCUGAGAGAAAAGAAAAAGAAAAUAUAGAGCAUCUCAUUCCCCCUCAAAAAGCUUCAAAGUGCAAGAAAGGUAUGUACCCCUCAAAAGAGCAAAAGUAGAAUUAGACUUUCACCAUUGUUUUCACCAUUAUCACCAUCAUCACCAUACACCAUUCAUUCACCACACAUGCACAUCUUGAUUUGACUUAUUGACUUGUUUCUCUGCAUCCAUGGUUUGACUAUGCAAUAAAUGUCUUGUAAGUAUGUAUUAGCUGUCUCCCACCUAUGAGCUCCAGAUAUCAAAGCCUCAUUAGAGUAGGAUGAGAGAGAAGGCAAUAUCACUAUGCCUCAUACCAUAAAUACUACAUACUUUGAGAGAAGGUAUAUAUCAUUACUGCCUUGGUGAGGAUCCAGAAAUACCACAAAAGAGAGAAUUGAGAGUGUCAUACAAGGAAUCUCUGAGUUUUAUUUGAAAAUCUGCAAAAACUCCAGAGCUAUAGUUGAUCAAGAACAAGAGACAUGGCGCUUGACUUGACUGUUCUAUCUUUUAACUACUCAAGAUACAAGUGAUGGUUACAAGCCCC